rnacentral:lncRNA from 1 species
CAUAUGCUUCACCUCUUGCCAUGUUAAUCAACAUUUGAUAUUGUUGGGUACAUAAACAAGAUUGAACUAAAUAACUUGAAUGUGGUAUUUUUUUCAAUAUGCAACUCCGUUGCAUAUUGAGCUCCACUUAAUUUGUAGGACUGUUUGUGCAUUUUGCCAUGCUAUGCCUCAUUAAACCGGACAUGCAUCAUACUUGGUUGUGCAUCAUGCAUGCUUAUGUGAUGGUUGUUUACCAUGUUGUUUGCUUCUUUCCAGUGUUGCUUCUUCGGGUUGGUUCCGAUAACGUCGCGUUUGUGAGGAUCCGUUCGACUUCGUCCGUUUGUCUUCUUCAUGGACUCGUUCUUCUUCCUUGCGGGAUCUCAGGCAAGAUGACCAUACCCUCGAAAUCACUUCUAUCUUUGCUUGCUAGUUGCUCGCUCUAUUGCUAUGCCGCGAUACCUACCACUCGCUUUAUCAUGCCUCCCAUAUUGCCAUGUCAAGCCUCUAACCCACCUUUCCUAGCAAACCGUUGUUUGGCUAUGUUACCGCUUUGCUCAACCCCUCUUAUAGUGUUGCUAGUUCUAGGUGAAGAUGAAGUUUGUUCCAUGUUGGAACAUGGAUAUUGUUGGAUAUCAUUAUUAUAUCUUAUUUACUUUAACGCAUCUAUAUACUUGGUAAAGGGUGCAAGGCUCGGCCUUAUGCCUAGUGUUUUGUUCCACUCUUGCCGCCCUAGUUUCCGUCAUACCGGUCUUAUGUUCCUUGAUUUUGUGUCCCCUGCGUGGUUGGGUGUUAUGGAAACCCCUUGAUAGUUCACUUUGAAUAAAACUCCUCCAGCAAGGCCCAACCUUGGUUUUACAUUUGCCUCACCACCACCUACUUUUCCCUUGGGAGUCGCGCUCCCGAGGGUCAUCUUAUUUUAACCCCCCCCCCAGGCCAGUGCUUCUCUAAGUGUUGGUCCGAACCAGAGCACCGUGCGGGACCGUCCCUUGGCAACUUGGGUUAUGUUGGUACCUGUACGCUUAGCUUAUCUGGUGUUGCCCUGAGAACAAGAUAUGUGCAGCUCCUAUCGGGAUGUCGGCACAUCGGGCGGUCUUGCUGGUCUUGUUUUACCAUUGUCGAAAUGUCUUGUAACCGGGAUUCUGAGUCUGAUCGGGUCUUCCUGGGAGAAGGAAUAUCCUUCAUUGACCGUGAGAGCUUGUGAUGGGCUAAGUUGGGACACCCCUGCAGGGUUUUGAACUUUCGAAAGCCGUGCCAGCGGUUAUGGGCAGAUGGGAAUUUGUUAAUAUCCGGUUGUAGAGAACUUGACACUUAACUUAAUUAAAAUGAAUCAACCGCGUGUCUAGUCGUGAUAGUAUCUUCUCGGCGGAGUCCGGGAAGUGAACACGGUUCUUGUGUUAUGCUUGAACAUAAGUAGUUUUAGGAUCACUUCUAGUUCACGGCCGUUGCGUCGCUUCUCUACUCGCUCUCUUUUGCGUAAGUUAGCUACCAUAUAUGCUUAGUGCUUGCUGCAGCUCCACCUCAUUAUUGUUUUCCUACCCAUAAGCUUAAAUAGUCUUGAUCUCACGGGUGUGAGAUUUUUGAGUCCUCGUGACUCACAGAUACUUCCAAACAGUUGCAGGUGCUGAUGAUACCAGUGCAGAUGACGCAACCGAGCUCAAGUGGGAGCUCGAUGAAGAUCUUGUUCGUUGUUAUGUGUCAUUUCCUGUUGAUCAGUAGUGGAGCCCAGUUGGGACGAUCGGGGAUCUAGCAUUUGGGGUUGUCUUUCUUUAUUUUGGUUCCGUAGUCGGACCUUUGAUUGUACCUUGGAUGAUGUAUGAUAUAUAUAUAUAUGUAUUGUGUGAAGUGGUGAUUGUAAGCCGACUCUUUAUCCCUUUCUUAUUCAGUACAUGGGAUGUGUAAAGAUUACCCCGCUUGCGACAUGCCUACCAUGCGGCUAUGCCUCUAAGUCGCGCCCCGACACGUGGGAGAUAUAGCCGCAUUGUGGGUGUUACAGCUCCCCAAUAGUGGCAUCCGAGCCAGGUCAAUGCGUAGAUGAUAUGCACAAGUAGAACACAAAGAGUUGUGGGCGGUGAUAUUCAUACUGCUUACCACCAACAUCCUAUUUUGAUUCAGCGGUAUUGUGGGAUGAAGCGGCCCGGACCAACCUUACAUGUCCACGCACAUGAGACAGGUUGCACCGACAGACAUGGAACUAGUUUUGCAUAAACGUGGUUGGCGGGUGUCUGUUUCUCCUACUUUAUUUGAAUCGAAUUUGACUACGGCUGGUCCUUGAAGAAGGUUAAAAUAGCAAACUUGACGAAACACCGUUGUGGUUUGAUGCAUAGGUAAGAACGGUUCUUACUAGAAGCCCAUAGUAGCCACGUAAAACUUGCAACAACAAAGUAGAGGAUGUCUAACUUGUUUUUGUCGGGCAUGUUGUGAUGUGAUAUGGUCAAGACAUGAUGUGAUAAAUGUUAUUGUAUGAGAUGAUCAUGUUUUGUAAGAUAUCUGACAACCCGCAGGAGCCUCAUGGUUGUCUCCUUAUUAUAUAGAAUGCAAAUGCCAUGUGAUUGCUUUACUUUAUCAAUAUGAGUUAGUGAUAGUUGUAGAAGCAAUAGUUGGAGAGACGACCACGACGCUACGAUGGAGAUCAAAGUGUCAAGUCGAUGACGAUGGAGAUCAUGACGAUGCUUUGGAGAUGGAGAUCAAAAGCACAAGAAGAUGAUGGCCAUAUCAUGUCACAUAUUUUGUUUGCAUGUGAUGUUUAUCUUUUAUGCAUAUUAUUUUGCUUAAUAUGGCGGUAGCAUUAUAAGAUGAUCCCAUAACUAAAUUUCAAGGUAUAAGUGUUCUCCCUGAGUAUGCACUGUUGCAACAGUUCGUCGUGUUUGAGACACCACGUGAUGAUCGGGUGUGAUAGACUCUACGUUCACAUACAACGGGUGCAAGACGUUUUUGCGCAUGCGGAAUACUCGGGUUAAACUUGACGAGCCUGGCAUGUACAGACAUGGCCUCGGAAUAUGGAGACUGAAAGGUCGAAUGUGAAUCAUAUAGUAGAUAUGAUCAACAUAGAGAUGUUCACCAUUGAUGACUACUCCAUCUCACGUGAUGAUCGGACAUGGUUUAGUUGAUUUGGAUCACGUAUCAUUUAGAUGCCUCAAGGGAUGUCUAUCUAAGUGGGAGUUCUUAAGUAAUUUGAUUAAUUGAACUUAAUUUAUCAUGAACUUAGUCCUGAUAGUAUUUGCAUAUCUAUGUUGUAGAUCAAUAGCUCGCGUUGUGGCUCCCCUAUAUUUUUAUGUUCCUAGAGAAAAAUAAGUUGAAAGAUGAUAGUAGCAAAGAUGCGGACUCGGUCCGUGAUCUGAGGAUUAUCCUCAUUGCUGCAUAGAAGAAUUAUGUCCUUGAUGCACCGCUAGGUGACAGACCUAUCGUAGGAGCAUAUGCAUACGUUAUGAACGUUUGGUUAGCUCAAUAUGAUGACUACUUAAUAGUUUAUUAUGCCAUGCUUUAUGGCUUAGAACCGGGACUUCAAAAACGUUCUAAACACCACGGAGCAUAUGAGAUGUUCCAAGAGCUGAAAUUGGUAUUUCAGACUCAUGCCCGUGUCGAGAGGUAUGAGACCUCUGACAAGUACUUAGCAAGAUCAAUAUAAGAUAAAUUCGUAGACAUUGGAUCGGUGACUUGUUGGAUGAUAUUCAUCAUGAGACAGUUAUAACCUAGGGUGAUAUGACACUAGCUCGAGUUCAUCAAUAUAAUGUAGGCAUGUAUUCCGUAAAUAGUCAUAUGUGCUUAUGGAAAUAACUUGCAUGACAUAUUUUGUCCUACCCUCCCGUGGUAGCGGGGUCCUAUUGGAAACUAAGGGAUAUUAAGGCCUCCUUUUAAUAGAGAACUGGAACAAAGCAUUAAUACAUAGUGAAUACAUGAACUCCUCAAACUACGGUCAUCACCGGGAGUGGUCCCGACUAUUGUCACUCUGGGGUUACCGGAUCAUAACACGUAGUAGGUGACUAUAACUUGCAAGAUCGGAUCUAGAACAUGGAUAUAAUGGUGAUAACAUAAAUGAUUCAGAUCUGAAAUCAUGGCACCCGGGCCCAAAGUGACAAGCAUUAUGCAUGGCAAAGUCAUAGCAACAUCAAUUUAAGAACAUAGUGGAUACUAGGGAUCAAGCCCUAACAAAACUAACUCGAUUACAUGAUGAAUCUCAUCCAACUCCUCACCGACCAUCAAGCCUACAAAGGAGUUACUCACUCCCGGUGGGGAGCAUCAUGGAAUUGGCGAUGGAGAAGGGUUGGUGAUGAUGAAGAACGAAGAUCCCCCUCUCAGGAGCCCCAAACGGACUCUAGAUCUGGCCUCCCGAUGAAGAACGGGAGGUGACGGCGGCUCUAUCUCAUGGAUCGCAAUAAUUCUUUCUCCCUGAUUUUUUUCUAGAAAAAUAGGUAUUUAUGGAGUUGGAAUCAGGGUUUGCGGGGCCACCAGGUGGGGACAACCCACCUGGGCACGCCUGGUGAGGGGGGCGCGCCCUGGUGGGUUGUGCCCACCCAGGUGCCCCCUUUCGGUAGGUAGGUCUUGGCUCCAGAAAUUCUCUUUUAUUAUAUAAAAAUUCCUCGCAAAGUAUCGUUCCAUUCCGAGAACUUUUAUUUCUACACAAAAACAACACCAUGGUAGUUCUGAUGAAAUCAGCGUCGGUCCGGGGUUAGUUUCAUUCAAAUCAUGCAAAUUAGAGUCCGAAACAAGAGGAAAAGUGUUAGGAAAAGUAGAUACACUGCAGACGUAUCAACUCCCCCAAGCUUAAACCUUUGCUUGUCCUCAAGCAAUUCAGUUGAUAAACUGAAAGUGAAAAAGAAAAACUUUUACGAACACUUUUGCUCUUGUUUGCAUAAAUAAGCUUAAACAGCACCUAGGUUUUUGGCCAACAUUAUAACUAACCAUGUUGACAAUAACUCUUAAAGAUUAUAUUAACUCAUAUCAAUGAUAUAAUCAGCUAGCGAGCAAUAAUAAGACAUCUCGACGGCAACACGUUGUCAAAACAACCAUGAUAUAAUAUGACAAUAGUGGUAUCUCGCUAGCCCUUUCUGAGACCGCAAAACAUAAAUGCAGAGCACCUCCAAAGUCCAAGCAGCGACUAAACAUUGUAAUUCAUGGUAGAAAAGAUGCAGUCAUGAUGCACCCAACAUUAGCUACACACAAUGCAUAAGUCAUGACGGUUGUGCUCUCAGGUUCUAGCGCUUGUUUUAGAAGGUGAUGACACAACAUAAAAGUAAAUAGAUAGUCCCUUCACAGAGGGAAGCAGUGAUUUGCAGACGUGCCAGAGCUCAAGUUUUUAAAAACAGAGAUAAAUGAUAUUUUGAGACAUGCACCCUUCUCAUUUACUUCACGACUAUCAGUUAUCAAUAUCUCCCAUGCUAAACAAGAUAGUGGCGGUUCCCAAGCGAUAAAAAAUAAAGGUUUUGACUCCAUUGGGAGUUUUUGUUUGAUUAUUUGAGCGAUUAACUCUUUUUGUGUUUGCAGUUUGGGACUGGGCAUCCCUAUUACCGCCCUUUUCUCAUCCGAUGGUGAAUGAAUAAACACUCGACCUGAGAAUAACCCGCUUAGCAUGGAAGAUACCGACCACCUCCUAUCGUUCCAUGAACGAUCCAGGCACACAAAAAGGAUAUAUUUUUAGAAGUUUUUUAGGGUGGCACACACAAAUUUACUUAGGACGGCAGGAUAAUACCGCAUAUAGGUAGGUAUGGUGGACUCAUCUGGAAUAACUUUGGGUUCAAGGUUUUUGAUGUACAAGCAGAAUUCCCACUUAGUCCAGGCGGAGGCUAGCAAUUAGAUUGAGAAGCGGCCAGCUAGAGAGCAACAACGAUCAUGAUCAUGCAUUAUGCAUAAGUAACUUUGGACACUAGCAUGAGUUGGAUAUGAUCACCGUGAACAUAAAUAUCAUAGAGGCUGCGUUGGUUUUGAUUCAACUACAUGCAUGAACAUGUGCCAAGUCAAGCCACUCGAACAUUCAGAGGAGGAUACCAUGUCAUCAUACUACAUCACAAUCAUUUUAACGCAAUUGUUGAUAUCCAAGAUAAAUCAUUAUUCACUCCCACCUACUUAUGCAUGGCAUGAGGAACUAUAAUCUCUAAUUGUCAUUGCAAACAUGUUUAAUCAUAAUGUGUUGAAUCAUGGAUGCUAGGUUAAACAUAUUUACACAAAAAGAACAAGUCGAGUUCAUACCAAUUUCUCUCUGCCACGGCCAGUUCAUCGAAUAUCGUCAUUAUUGCCUUUCACUUGCACGACCGAACGAUGUGAAAAUAAUAAUAGUGCAAGAGUGCCAUGGACUAAGCUGGAAUCUGCAAAACAUUUUAUUUAACAGGGGAAGACAAGGUAAAAUGGGCUCUUGAUUAGUUCAACAGUUAUUCAUAUGAGAGCCAUUCAACAUUUUCAUCGUGGUCUUCUCCUCGGUACAACUCGAAUAAAAGGAAAAGAAAUUCAGAGAAACACACUGAAAUAUUUUUGGAGUUUUUGUUUUCUUGAACAAGCAAAUAAAAGGAAAGGGAAAAAACGAGAAAAACUAUUUACACGGGAAAGCUCCCAACAAGCAAAAGAAGAACAAGGAAAUCUUUUUGGGUUUUCUUUUUAAUACUACAGCUAACCAUGCAUAGAAAGUAAAUUAGCUACAACUAAUUUCUUUGGUUUUUCUAAAGUUUUUCAAACACACAAGAAGAAAGCAAGAAAAAUAAAAUUUAAACAUGGAUGAUACAAUGAAAAAGUGUGAACACCGACAAGAUGAAUAAGUGGACAUGAAUGUAAUGUCGGUGAGAACACGUACUCCCCCAAACUUAGGCUUUUGGCCUAACUUGGUAGUCGGUCAGUAAUCUGGAUAGUAGUUGGGGUACUGAGGAGCGGGCAUCCACUGAUCCCACUGCUGAGGCUCCUCCUCUGCCUCUGCAGCAGCCUGAGCGUUCGGGUAGGCGAUGAUGUCCGCACGCAUAAUCCUAUAUCCGCCCCUGGCAACAGAAUCAAACAAAGCAGGAGCAGAUAGUGGAAUAAUAUCACAAGUUUCAAUACUAAAACCAGGUUAUAAGGAAUAGGAAUGUUAGGAGAUCUAUCAUCAGUAAAAUGGGGGUGAUCCAUGGCAGCACAGUCUAGGUAAACCUUGGACAGAGGGUAACCAUGAGGGUGUAUCUCAACCUCGAAGUGAGCCGCCAAACGAGUAGCAUAAAUCCCACCAUGAACUUUACCACAUGGGAGAGAGAUCAACGGAGAUUUUUUUUGGAGGUAGGUGAUGAUGUGGUGUCAAGAGAUAAGUGAGGGGGCCCACAUGGGGACCACAACCCACCAGGGCGCGCCUGGGGGUCCUGGCGCGCCCAGGUGGGUUGUGCCCACCUGGAGCACCUCCCUCUAAUGUUAUUUGCACCAAAAAUUCAGAAAUAUUCAGAAACAAAUCGUAUUAAAAUUUCAGGGCAUUCUGAGAACUUUUAUUUUUUGAUCAUUUUUUUAUUGCACGGGAAAAUCAGAAAACAGGCAAAACAUGGCAUUUUAUUAUAUUUAACUAAUGAAAAUAGAGAAUAGAAAGUAGGGACAAAAGGUAGUGCCUACUAAGUUCAUCAACUUCAUACCGCUAAAAGAUGAUCCAUUAACAAGGUUGAUCAAGUCUUAUUAACAACCACUUUCGAUUAGCACGGAACCGAAGAACUUUCAUAAAUCACUAAAUUACCUCAAUGGGGAUAUGGAUGUCCCCAACAAUAAGCAUUUCAUAUUUCUUUUUGACAGUUGGUAGAGGUAUUUGAAAACUUCCAAUAGUGAUUGUCGGAGAUUUUUCAAUAACAUUAAUACCAUUCACUUGGAAUUGUUUCUUCGGAAAGUGCACCGUAUGCUCAUUACCAUUAAUAUGAAAAGUGACCUUGCUUUUAUUGCAAUCAAUAACAGCCCCUGCAGUAUUCAAGAAGGGUCUACCAAGGAUAAUCGAUAUGUUGUCGUCCUCGGGCAUCUCAAGUAUAACAAAGUCAGUCAAAAUAGUAACAUUAGCAACAACAACGGGCACAUCCUCACAGAUACUGAUAGGUAUGGCAGUUGAUUUGUCAGCCAUUUGCAAAGAUAUUUCAGUAGGUGUGAGUUUAUUCAAAUCAAGUCUUUUAUAUGAAGAGAAAGGCAUAACACUAACACCAGCUCCUAAAUCACACAAAGCAGUUUUCACAUAAUUCUUUUUGAUGGAGCAAGGUAUAGUUGGUAUUCAUGGAUCUCCAAGUUUUUUAGGUACUCCAUCUUUAAAAGUAUAAUUAGCAAGCAUAGUGGAGAUUUCAGCUUCCGGUAUUUUUCUUUUAUUUGUGAUGAUGUCUUCCAUAUACUUUGCAUAAGGAGGCAUUUUCAAGAUAUCGGUCAAGCGAGUAUGCAAAAAGACCAGCCUCAGCAUUUCAGCAAAGCGUUCAAAUUCUUCAUCAUCAUUCUUUUUAGUUGACUUAGGUGGAAAAGGCAUAGGUUUUUGAACCCACGGUUCUCUUUCCUUAUUGUGUUUCUAGCAGUGAAGUCUCUUUUAUCAUACCUUUUAUUCUUAGGUUGUGGGUUAUCAAGAUCAACAGGUGGUUCUAUCUCAACAUCAUUGUCUAGUUCUUUAUUAUUUGGUUGAGAGUCUUCAUGAACAUCAACAUUAUCUUUUUCAUUAUCACUAGGUGAGUGUUCAUUACCGUAUUGAGUUUCAACACUGAGAUAGAAACUUCAUUAUCUAUGUCAGGAGGUUUUUCCAUUUCAGGUUCACUAGGAGCAUGCAAAGUCCUAUCAUUUUUAUUUUUCUUUCUAGAAGAACUAGGUGCACUAAUGUUAGCUCUUUGUGAAUCUUUUUCAAUUCUUUUUGGGUGUCCCUUAGGAUAAAGUGGUUCCUGAGUCAUUUUACCUCCUCUAGUUGCAACUCUAACAGCAAAUUCAUGCAUACUAUUAUUCAUUUCAUCAAGCAAUUCUCUUUGAGAUUUAGCAACUUAUUCUAACUGGGUUUGAACCAUAGAAGCAUGCUUUCCAACACCUCUAACAUCAUUUGAUAUUCUAAAUAACAAGUCGCUCAAGCGAGCAAUCAUAUCAGAAUUGUAUUUCAAUUGUUUCAUAACAUUUGCAUUAAAGUGAUCUUGUUUUCUAAUAUAAUUUUCAAACUCAUAAAGACAUUGGCUGGGGUGCAUAUUGUGAGGAUUAUCAUUAUCAUUGAACUUCAUUAGAGAAUUUACCUCUACCACCUUAGGCAGUGGUGGUGUAUUAAGCCCAUGUAUUUCUUCAAUAGGAGGUAAACUUUUAACAUCCUCAGCUUUAAUACAUUUUUCCUUCAUAGAUUUCUUUGCCUCUUGCAUAUCUUUAGGACUAAUAUAUAAUAUACCCCUCUUCUUCAAAGUGGGUUUAGCCGGUGGUUCAGGAAGAGUCCAAUCAUCAUAAUUUUUCGAUAUGUUAUUCAAUAAUUCUUCAGCUUGUCCAACAGUUCGUUCCCUGAAAACACAACUAGCACAACUAUCUAGGAAAUCCAUAGAAGCAUCGGUUAGUCCAUUAUAGAAGAUAUCAAGUAUUUCAUUUUUCUUAAGUGGAUGAUCAGGCAAAGCAUUAAGUAACUGGCAAAGCCUCCCCCAAGCUUGUGGGAGACUCUCUUCUUUAGUUUGACAAAGUUAAAUAUUUCCUGCAAGGCAGCUUAUUUCUUAUGAGCAGGGAAAUAUUUUUUAGAGAAGUAAUAAAUCAUAUCCUGGGGACUACGCACACAACUAGGAGCAAGAGUAUUGUACCAAGCUUUAGCAUCACCCUUUAAUGAGAAAGGAAAUCAUUUGAGAAUAUAGUAGUAGUGAGUUUUCUCAUCAUGAGGAAAAAGGGUGGCUAUGUCAUGCAACUUAGUAAGAUGUGCCACAACAGUUUCAGUUUCAUAACCAUGCAAAGGAUCAGAUUCAACCAAAGUAAUUAACUCUGGGUCAAUAGAGAAUUCAUAAUCCUUAUCAUCAAUAAAGAUAGGUGAAAUAGCAAACUUAGGAUCACAUUUCAUUCUAGCAUUCAGAGAUUUUUCUUUAUACUUGCAUAAUAAUUUCUUUAGAUCAUCCCUACCUCUGCAAGCAAGAAUAUCUCUAGUUGUCUCCUCACUCAUAACAUAACCUUCUGGUACCUUAAGCAAUUCAUGUCUAGGAGGGCUAGUUCUAGUAGGUGUUUCAGGAGUUUCAGUUUCAAGCUCAUCAUCAGAUUCAACAACAUCAUGUUGUACAACUCUAGCAAUUUGUUUAUCAAGAAAAUCACCAAGUGGCACAUCAUCAUUAAGCAAGGUACUAGCAUCAUCAUAAGAAUUAUCCAUAGCAGAAGUAGCAUCAUCAAUAACUUGCGACAUAUCAGAAUUAAUAGCAUGUGGUGGUGUUGCAAGUUUACUUAUAAUAGAAGGUGAAUCUAAAGCAGAACUGCAUGGCAGUUCCUUACCUCCCCUCGUCUUUGAGGGAAAUAUCUUAGUCUUAACAUCCUUCAGAUUCUUCAUAGUGAUAAUGUGAUAAUAAUCCCAAGUGACUCAACAAAUAUAGCUAUGCUCCCCGGCAACGGCGCCAGAAAAAGGUCUUGAUAACCCACAAGUAUAGAGGUCGCAACAGUUUUCGAGGGUAGAGUAUUCAACCUAAAUUUAUAGAUUCGACACAAGGGGAGACAAAUAAUAUUUGAAGGUAUUAGCAGCUGAGUUUUCAAUUCAACCACACUUGGAGAUUAAUUAUUUGCAGCAACGUGAUCAGUAGCAAAGUAAUAUGAUAAUUUAGAUAGUGGUGACAACAGCAAUAGUAACGGUAAUAGUGAUAGCAGUAAUUUUGUAACAAGUGUAACAGUGAUGAUAAUAGUAGUAACUUAGCAAGAUCAAUAUAAGAUAAAUUUGUAGGCAUUGGAUCAGUGACUUGUUGGAUGAUAUUCAUCAUGAGAAUCUUAUAACCUAGGGCGAUACGGCACUAGCUCCAGUUCAUCAAUAUAAUGUAGGCAUGUAUUCUGUAAAUAGUCAUACGUGCUUAUGGAAAGAACUUGCAUGACAUCUUUUGUCCUACCCUCCCAUGGAAGCGGGGUCUGUAACGCCCUCGAUGCGGCUAUAUCUCCCAUGUGUCGAAGCACGACUUAGAGGCAUAACCGCAUUGAAAGCAAUGUCGCAAGUGAGGUAAUCUUCACACAACCCAUGUAAUACAUAAGGGAAAGAGAUACAUAGUUGGCUUACAAUCGCCACUUCACACAAUACAUGAAUAAAGCAUUACAUCAUCCAAAUACACUCAAGGUCCGACUACGGAACCAAAAUAAAAGAAGACUACCCCAAAUGCUACAGAUCCCCGAUCGUCCCAACUGGGCUCCACUACUGAUCAACUGGAAACGGAAACAACAUAACGAACACGAUCUUCGUCGAGCUCCUCCUUGAGCUCGGUUGCGUCACCUACACGGUAUCAUCGGCACCUACAAACUGGUUUUGGAAGUAUCUAUGAGUCACGGGGACUCAGCAAUCUCACACCCUCGCGAUCAAGACUAUUUAAGCUUAUGGGUAAGGUAAAGGUAUGAGGUGGAGCUGCAGCAAGCGACUAGCAUAUUUGGUGGCUAACAACGCAAAUGAGAACGAGAAGAGAAGGCAAAGCACGUUCGAGAAAAUAUGAUCAAGAAGUGAUCCUAUAACAACCUACGUCAAACAUAACUCCAACACCGUGUUCACUUCUCGGACUUCGCCGAGAAGAGACCAUCACGGUUACACACGCGGUUGGUGUAUUUUAAUUAAGAUCAACUUCAGGUUUUCUACAACCGGACAUUAACAAAUUCCCAUCUGCCCAUAACCACGGGCACGGCUUUCGAAAGUUCAAAUCCCUGUAGGGGAGUCCCAACUUAGCCCAUCACAAGCUCUCACGGACAACGAAGGAUAUUCCUUCUAGCGGGAAGACCCGAUCAGACUCGGAAUCCCGGUUACAAGACAUUUCGACAAUGGUAAAACAAGACCAGCAAAGCCACCCAGAUGUGCCGACAAAUCCCGAUAGGAGCUGCACAUAUCUUGUUCUCAGGGCACACCGGAUGAGCCAGACAUCGGGUGGGCCAGCCCAGAGUUGCCCCUGGUAGCUCCGGACAUCGCUCAGUUUGGACCAACACUCAGAGGAGCACUGGCCCGGGGGUUUAAAAUAAAGAUGACCCUUGAGUCUGCAGAACCCAAGGGAAAGAAAAGGCUAGGUGGCGAAUGGUAAAGCCAAUGUUUGUCCUUGCUGGAGGCGUUUUAUUCUAGGCGAACUGUCAAGGGGUUCCCAUUAUAACCCAACCGCGUAAGGAACGCAAAAUCCAGCAACGUAACACCGAUAUGACGGAAACUAGGGCAGCAAGAGUGGAACAAAACACCAGGCAUAAGGCCGAGCCUUCCACCCUUUACCAAGUAUAUAGAUGCAUUAAUUAAAUAAGAGAUAUUGUGAUAUCCCAACAAAAUAUCCAUGUUCCAACAUGGAACAAGCUCCAAUCUUCACCUACAACAAGCAACGCUAUAAGAGGGGCUGAGCAAAGCGGUAACAUAGCCAAACAAUGGUUUGCUAGGACAAGGUGGGUUAGAGGUUUGGUUCAACAAUGUAGGAGGCAUGAUAAGCAAGUGGUAGGUAUCGCAGCAUAGGCAUAGCAAAAGAGCGAGCAACUAGCAAGCAAAGAUAGAAGUGAUCUCGAGGAUAUGGUCAUCUUGCCUGAAAUCCCGCAAGGAAGAAGAACGAGUCCAUGAAGAAGACAAACGGACGAAGACGAACGAAUCCUCACAAACGCGAUGUUAUCGGAACUAACCCGAAGAAGCACACCGGAAAGAAGCAAACAAAGAUAAUAAGCAACCAUCACAUAAACAUGGCAUGAUGCACAAUCAAGUAUGAUGCAUGUCCGAUUUAAUGAGGCAUGGCAUGGCAAAGUGCAACAAACAGCACUACAACUUAAGUGGAGCUCAAUAUGCAAUGGAGUUGCAUAUUGAAGAAAACACCACAACAAGUUAUUUAGUUCGAUCUUGUUUAAGUACCCAACAAAAUUAAAUGUUGAUUAACAUGGCAAGAGGUGAAGCAUAAGAAAACUAUACCAUCUAAACAAUUUAAAUGGGGCCGGAAACAUCAACCAACAAUUCUGAUAAAACCCCAUAUGCAUUAGCAAUUUAAUGCAACAACAAUUUUAAACAUAUUAAAUGUUGUUAUCAUGAUGCGGAUGUCAUGUUCAAGUUUAUGCAAGUUUAAGAAAAUGUUGACAUGAGGGUGAUGAGAGCAUUUGUCACCGUGGUAGAAAGAAAGGGGUGCCACGGCAACAAAACGGAAAUGAUGUCGCGGCAACAUUCCGGUUCCGGUAACUCGAUUGAGAAACCGAUGCAAAGGAGAAGUGUGCGGAUGCAUGCAAAAGAUGGUGGGGCACUCCCGGAUACCGGGUGUCCCACGAGUUAGUGGCAUGGAAACGAGUGACAAUACGGACACGGUGCACACAAAGGGUGCAUCUCAUCCAACAUGCAUUCAUUCGUCCACGGGCGUCGUCUCGGGGUUAUACCUUCUAGGUGAGACCUUUCGGAACGGAUCAAGUUCUUAGUGGAAGUAGACGGUCUCGCCACGUUCGUAGAGGUAGUAGUUGUACUCAUGCCGUAGUGGAAGUAGUCGUGCUAUCGUUCAUCUGUGAUCACCGGGACGGUAGUAGAAGUAGAGGCACACGACGUCUUGUCGAAACUCAUGGCGGCGGUAGUUGUACACACGUGGUAGUCGAACUUGAUGGAACCAAGGUCCUCGAGGGUAGUCGUGGUACUCGUCGCGUUCCGAAACCGAAGUGGUACUUGGCGAUAUCCGGGAUGGUCUUGACGUUUCGGUGCGGUGUAGUGGUACAUGUCAAUGGUCUUCGUGGUACUUCGUUCCGGUCCUGUAGUUGUACUAGGCCUCGGUGGACCUUCGAGGAACUUGCUUAUCCGAAGGGGUACAUGGCGAUCGACGGACGUCGUGGUACUUGAUGGUCCGGGUCUUGGUGUAUCCAAAACGGUCAUCGGUGAUGAAACUUGGCGAAACCAUGGAGACGAUGUGUCCGCGUAGGGUUCUUGGCGAUGUUCUUACUGGUCCAAAAGAAACAAGACAGGAGGCUGGUGGUGCAUCUGUCCGGUGAGGCUGAGGUGGAUCCGGGCAGAGCAAGUGUCGGGGCAAGUCCCGCUGGAGCUCGGGGAAGCUCCUGGCGAGGCCGUCGGGAAUGCCGACGACAUGUGGGCGCGGAGGCAGAGGAGCUCAAGGGGAGGCUCGGGCAGAGGAAGAAGUACCCACGUGCUUGGCGGCCUUGGUCAACGGUGGGUGACGAGGUAGAGACGGAGUCGCGGGAGGGGGGGCGAGCGGACGUGGCUUCGACGGAGGUGCUCGCUGGCGGCGGCCGAAACGCGGCGGGGCCCUGGCUCCUGGAGGCGCUCGGGCCGAGCGAGGUCAUCAGCCGGCGCAGCGCGACGGUGGCGCACGGCGGUGGGGUUGCGCGAGGUAGGUGGCGGCGCAUGGGAGAGGAAGGAGGGCAGCGGUGAUCGCAGCGCCAAGGCGAGGUGGAGGAGGAGCUGAGGACGGGGAGGCCGGCGUGGUCACGCGCAUUUCUCGUGGGUGGCGGCGCGAGGAAGAGAGCGAAGGGAGAGGUGUGCGACAGGGAUCGGGCGUGGGAGAUCGAGAGAGAGAGAAAAGGAUCACAACGAGAGGAGGGGUCGAGCGAGGCCACAGCGCUCGCUGACUCUAGCGGCGCGAGGGAGAGGGUCCAGAAGCGCCUAGGGUUAGGAGGGAUACGGGCCUUGGGCCAAAAGGUCAAGGGUUGGCCUUGUUGGGCUGGGCUAAAAGGAAGACUAGGAAGAGAGAAGGAGAGGGCCAGCCUGGAAAGCUAAAUUGGGCUCCCAAUAAAGAAAUAAAAAAUAAAGAGAACUUUGGAGAACAGAAAGAGAGAAUUAGAAAAGGAAUUAGACCAACAGGGAUAUUUUCCUUGGACCAAGAAAAAAUGAAGGAUUUAACAAAAAAAUGGUUGGAAGAGGUUUGGGCAAACUAGGUCCACACUCAUUUGAAUUUAAUUCAAAUGGGUUCUAAUAGAAAGUGGGUGCUAGGACGGCCCAGAAAUGAUUGAGAAUCUCGGUGGAGCUCCGGAAAAAUAGAGAAAUGAUAUAUAGCAAAGUUAGAGGCCAAUAGUUGUGAUAACAAAGGCAUUGGGAUUUUGCAAGUGUGUUAAGGUGAAUUCCAAAACAGUGGAAUUUUUAAUAUAGCUCCCUAAUAAUAGUAGGAGACUUUUAUAUGUUAUAAAGAGAAUUUCACCAUGUGAACUCCCUGAUUUAAAUAGAUCAACGAUCUAUGCAAUUUAUUUAAGUGAGAUGUGAAAGAUUUAUGACAUGAUGACAUGAUGCAAUGCAAAAUAAAAGGAGCAAGCAAGAAUGAAACACACGGAGAAACUCAGAAUAGUUGGAAGUCUUCUGGAGCGUCGGUCUCGGGGUGUUACAACACUCCACCACUACAAGCGGAUCUCGUCCCAAGAUCUAGAAUGUCACCGGAGGGAAAAAGGAAGGGAAAGAGAAGAGGUAAAGCUAAGUUGCUUCUUUGACAAACGAGUGAAACCAAAGAACCUUGCAAGGUUGAACAAAUUGAAAGAAAGAAUACAACGAAGAUGAACAAAGUUGAAAACACUCCGUUAGACAAGAGGAACAAGGAACAUUACUAGAACCUUGUAGGUUGAAGACAUAAGAAAAAGGUUGCAAUGAACUAGAAUUAGAUGCAAGCACUCCGGUUGAAAUGAGAAGCACAAGGAACGAUAAAGAUCAAUUACGACAAUACUCUGGUUGGAAAUGGAGGGAAUUGAAUAUGAUCUUGACAGGAUGAGAGGAUACUUGAAAAGAGGACAUGACACUCCGAUUAAAAGGAUGAGCACGAAAAGAACAAGGCCCUGACAAAACAAGAAGAUGGGUUGAAGAGAGCAACAUCACAAUGUCUCCGGAACGAAAGAAUAGAAGAUAGAUAAUUGAAAUAAAAGAAUGGAGACGAAAAUGCAAACUUCUACCAAAAAAGUGUUUGAAAAGGCAUCCUUAGGAGAAGGGUCGAACGGAGUAGUUGGAAAACCAACAACGAAAAGAGUAAGCUGGUGGUGGGCUUAUGAAAAACUUCUCAAAACUAUGAGGUGAAAUUCUGCCACUAACGGAACAAUAGAUUGACUUGAUACCAAGAAGGAGACGAUAAACUUAUUCACCGGAAGGAUAAAAGAAGAACUUGGGUCAUUUAUAAGCACCAUAAAUAGCAACAAUCCUUAGGGAAGGCUCUAGGUGAAAAUAUAACCCAAGAUAGCUCCAAUGACGAGAUUGAUGGAUUUAAAAUAUUUCAUUCUUAACAACAAGUGAAUCAUGAAACAUGAACUCAAAUUAUGAAGAAUGACAUAGUACCACCUCUAAUGAUACGGAAGAAAGAAUAGCACUCCAGAUUGCGAGAAGAAGAAUGCUUGAGCUCCUUACAAAAGAAUCUCGAUGACAACUUCGAGAAGGAAAUAAAUCCUUGAUGAACCAUCAUGAAGAAACUCUCAAAGAACUCCGAUAACGAAAGGAUGAUCAAACGAAAGGAAAGAUAAGUAGAGAACACAAGGUGAAGCCUUGCGAUCAUUAGAUGAAUCUUCAUGACGGUAUAAUGCGGAAAAGCUUGGAACUCCGGAAAAGAAAGAUGGAGCAAAUGAAAUCAGGAAUUUGAAGAGCCUCCGGAAUAAGGAAUUAAUCACUCAAUGAAGCAAGAAUAAGAAUUACGUUAUGCGUAUCUAUCACCAAUUUAAAUUGAUGACAAUCAACGGAUUUGGCAUAUUACUUAUUCUUGUAGAAAAGAUUAAGGAAGAUAUAGCGUAAACUUGAGGAAGGUCUUCAACGAACCACCGGAAGGAUUGAAAACAACGAAUAAAUUGAUAUGAUAACGAAUGACGAGAACUCUUGAACGAACCGCCGUAAGAAUUAAAAAUGAAUGAAGAGAAGAUAAAGAAAACACCGGGAAGAAUUAGCAAAUAAUGAAGAUGCUUGAGAGAAUUUAGAUUCAUGAGAAUGAAGAGAUUACGAGCUGAUUAGAGAAUCCUUGAUUUAAGCACCUGUAUGAUUGGAGAAUGAUAACUGAAAGCUGAGAAUGAAAAAAAAACCUGAAUUGAUGGACUCCAGAUAACAAACUGAGAAGACUCUUGAAUUGCUCCGGAUGGGUGAAAAGAAUUCCCACAAUCGAAAACAAUUAUGAGAGGAUGGCAACAAGCUAGAAUCACGAAUCUUGAAGAGAAUGGAGCAAGAUUAAAGAGAAACUCUUCUUCGGUCUUCAAAAUCUGAGAAUGACGAUGAGAAACACCACCAAAUUGUUGAGAUACUCCGGGAUGAAAAUUAGAAAGGUUGAGCCAAUGAUGAAAAGAAUUUGAAAGAUCUUGGAGAAAGACAUUUGACCGAUGAUAAAACAUUAUUACGUCAAACUUUAGAAAAGAAUUUGAGAAGCUCCGGAAAAAUAAGAAGAGUCAGGUAAGAUCCUGGGAAAAAACCUGUGGGUUAGGGCCACUCAAGAGAAAACACCGUUAGAAUGAUUAAAAAGAGAGAUUGCACCGGUUGAAUUAAAAGGCUUGAAUGAGAUAACAUCCUCAAAAUAGCUUGAACGGAUUAAGAGUGGAAACACGAAUCUUCUGAGAUAUCUUUAACACUCCCGAACAAAUGAAUAGUGAGAAGUGAAUGAUAAAGAGGUGCAACGGCAUGGGAAAACAUUUAAACGAGGAGAGGAUAUGAUCAGCUUAGCUUGAAUUGGAUCCACCGGAGAAGGAAAGAACGAAGAAUACAACACUUGAAGCUCCGUUAAAAACUUCCUGAGAAUCACCGGAUAAGAACAUUGACGAAAAAGAAUGGAGAGACUUUCCAUCAAUAAAAGGAUACUUGAUUAAGAAAUCUGGGUCCUUGAAGAAACAAAGGGAGGGAGGGCGGGAAAACAAAGGCAACUUGGAGACAAAUGAACCAAACACCGUUGAGAAGACUUGAGUUGAUCUUGCGGAUGUUGAAAUGAUCGGAACCACUUGACGAGAAAACACGCCGGUUGAAAAGGAUUGACAAUCUCGAUUGUCAUGAAGGAAUGGUAUUCACAUCGGAGUAUGAGAAACACCGUUUAGGAAAGGUAUGGAAUCAACAUUUUACUUCGAAGCAACUCGAAUACCACAACUCAAAACAAAACAAAGGAUUGGCUUGCAGAAUAAGCCAGAACAAACAUAUGAUAAAGAUUUCAUCUGAAGUUUUCGUGGUGGGGCCUACACGGGCUCGAUCGUACAGCACCAUCAUGUACAAGGCAGUGCACAUGACAUACGAAGUGUCCCCGAGUCGGCAUAGCCAAGGACUCUUUAAGACACAACGAGACCACUGUAAAACCAACCGUGGAUAGGCGGACCACUAGACAUCGAACCCCAAUUUCAUAUCAUACAUCUGUCAGAAAGAUAUCCUACAAUAUACUUGAAUUCCCACUUAUAAACUCCCGAAAUUUUCCGGUUAUGCAAUCAGGUGUUGGGGAUACAGGGGAAGUAUAAUAUCUCACCCAAACUAACAAAUCCUACAUCCAGCUGUAUCCAUCCUUCAACACAUAACCACGAAACCUUCAGAAAUCAUUUACCUCAACCUUCGAAAAGCAUCCGUUAUACGAGUUAUGGCAAUACUCCCGAACUCCCGCCCCAGUACUGGGUGGCGUCGAGGUUAUCUCACCAGCAACUGCAUAAAAGAGAUUUUCGAUGUCGGUGAAACUAAACUCAGGUAUUCCAGAACUGCAACGAUAAAAUUUGUGACGACAACACCUCGGAGCUCAACUCCCUGGGACACUGCCACAACCCCUAAAUGACAGGAGGCACCAAGAACAAUGUUCUCGUCACAAAACCAUCGAAAUGAUUCCAAGAUACCCGCGUGAUCCUCAAAAAAAUUUUAGUGAAAUUUGAGAAGAGAAGAGUCAAAACUCUACGUCAGGAUGCCUCACCGGAGCAACGAAGGGACUGAGGAGUAAAAAGAAUUCCUAAACUCUCUGAUAUAUAAUUCCUAAAUGACUCAAAACAUUUUUCUAGACUCAACAACGCCAGCGAUUCGAUCAAGCAGGGGGCUCCUAAGGUCGGGGAAGACUCUGAUACCAACUUGUAACGCCCUCGAUGCGGCUAUAUCUCCCACGUGUCGAAGCACGACCUAGAGGCAUAACCGCAUUGAAAGCAAUGUCGCAAGUGAGGUAAUCUUCACACAACCCAUGUAAUACAUAAGGGAAAGAGACACAUAGUUGGCUUACAAUCGCCACUUCACACAAUACAUGAAUAAAGCAUUACAUCAUCCAAAUACACUCAAGAUCUGACUAUGGAACCAAAAUAAAAGAAGACUACCCCAAAUGCUACAGAUCCCCGAUCAUCCCAACUGGGCUCCACUACUGAUCAACUGGAAACAUAAACAACAUAACGAACACGAUCUUCAUCGAGCUCCUCCUUGAGCUCGGUUGCGUCACCUGCACGGUAUCAUCGGCACCUGCAAAUUGGUUUUGGAAGUAUCUGUGAGUCACGGGGACUCAGCAAUCUCACACCCUCACGAUCAAGACUAUUUAAGCUUAUGGGUAAGGUAAAGGUAUGAGGUGGAGCUGCAGCAAGCGACUAGCAUAUUUGGUGGCUAACAGCGCAAAUGAGAGCGAGAAGAGAAGGCAAAGCACGUUCCAGAAAAUAUGAUCAAGAAGUGAUCCUAUAACAACCUACGUCAAACAUAACUCCAACACCGUGUUCACUUCCCGGACUUCGCCGAGAAGAGACCAUCACGGUUACACACGCGGUUGGUGUAUUUUAAUUAAGAUCAACUACAGGUUUUCUACAACCGGACAUUAACAAAUUCCCAUCUGCCCAUAACCGCGGGCACGGCUUUCGAAAGUUCAAAUCCCUGCAGGGGAGUCCCAACUUAGCUCAUCACAAGCUCUCACGGUCAACGAAGGAUAUUCCUUCUAGCGGGAAGACCCGAUCAGACUCGGAAUUCCGGUUACAAGACAUUUCGACAAUGGUAAAACAAGACCAGCAAAGCCACCCAGAUGUGCCGACAAAUCCCGAUAGGAGUUGCACAUAUCUCGUUCUCAGGGCACACCGGAUGAGCCAGACGUCGGGUGGGCCAGCCUAGAGUUGCCCCUGGUAGCUCCGAACAUCGCUCAGUUUGGACCAACACUCAGAGGAGCACUGGCCCGAGGGUUUAAAAUAAAGAUGACCCUUGAGUCUGCAGAACCCAAGGGAAAGAAAAGGCUAGGUGGCGAAUGGUAAAGCCAAUGUUUGGCCUUGCUGGAGGAGUUUUAUUCCAGGCGAACUGUCAAGGGGUUCCCAUUAUAACCCAACCGCGUAAGGAACGCAAAAUCCGGGAACGUAACACCAAUAUGACGGAAACUAGGGUGGCAAGAGUGGAACAAAACACCAGGCAUAAGGCCGAACCUUUCACCCUUUACCAAGUAUAUAGAUGCAUUAAUUAAAUAAGAGAUAUUGUGAUAUCCCAACAAAAUAUCCAUGUUCCAACAUGGAACAAGCUCCAAUCUUCACCUGCAACUAGCAACGCUGUAAGAGGGGCUGAGCAAAGCGGUAACAUAGCCAAACAACGGUUUGCUAGGACAAGGUGGGUUAGAGGUUUGGUUCAACAAUAUAGGAGGCAUGAUAAGCAAGUGGUAGGUAUCGCAGCAUAGGCAUAGCAAAAGAGCGAGCAACUAGCAAGCAAAGAUAGGAGUGAUUUCGAGGGUAUGGUUAUCUUGCCUGAAAUCCCGCAAGGAAGAAGAACGAGUCCAUGAAGAAGACAAACGGACGAAGACGAACGAAUCCUCACAAACGCGACGUUAUCAGAACUAACCCAAAGAAGCACACCGGAAAGAAGCAAACAAAGAUAAUAAACAACCAUCACAUAAACAUGGCAUGAUGCACAGUCAAGUAUGAUGCAUGUCCGGUUUAAUGAGGCAUGGCAUGGUAAAGUGCAACAAACAACACUACAACUUAACUGGAGCUCAAUAUGCAACGGAGUUGCAUAUUGAAGAAAACACCACAAAAAGUUAUUUAGUUCGAUCUCGUUUAAGUACUCAACAAAAUUAAAUGUUGAUUAACAUGGCAAGAGGUGAAGCAUAAUAAAACUAUACCAUCUAAACAAUUUAAAUGGGGCCGGAAACAUCAACCAACAAUUUCAGUAGAACCCCAUAUGCAUUAGCAAUUUAAUGCAACAACAAUUUUAAACAUAUUAAAUGUUGUUAUCAUGAUGCGGAUGUCAUGUUCAAGUUUAUGCAAGUUUAAGAAAAUGUUGACAUGAGGGUGAUGAGAGCAUUUGUCACCGUGGUAGAAAGAAAGGGGUGCCACGGCAACGAAACAAAAAUGAUGUCGCGGCAACAUUCCGGUUCUGGUAACUCGAUUGAGAAACCGAUGCAAAGGAGAAGUGUGCGGAUGCGUGCAAAAGAUGGUGGGACACUCCCGGAUACCGGGUGUCCCACGAGAGUGGCAUGGAAACGAGUGACAAUACGGACACUUUGCAGAUAAAGGGUGCAUCUCAUCCAACAUGCAUUCAUUCGUUCACGGGCGUCGUCUCGGGGUUAUACCUUCGAGCUGAGACCUUUCGGAACGGAUCAAGUUCUUAGCGGAAGUAGAUGGUCUCGCCACGUUCGUAGAGGUAGUAGUUGUACUCAUGCCGUAGUGGAAGUAGUCGUGCUAUCGUUCAUCUGUGAUCACCGGGACGGUAGUAGAAGUAGAGGCACACGACGUCUUGUCGAAACUCACGGCGGCGGUAGUUGUACACACGUGGUAGUCGAACUUGAUGGAACCAAGGUCCUCGAGGGUAGUCGUGGUACUCGUCGCGUUCCAAAACCGAAGUGGUACUUGGCAAUAUUCGGGACGGUCUUGACGUUUCGGUGCGGUGUAGUGGUACAUGUCAACGGUCAUCGCGGUACUUCGUUCUGGUCCUGUAGUCGUACUAGGCCUCGGCGGACCUUCGAGGAACUUGCGUAUCCGAAGGGGUACUUGGCGAUCGACGGACGUCGUGGUACUUGAUGGUCCGGGUCUUGGUGUAUCCAAAACGGUCAUCGGUGAUGAAACUUGGCGAAACCAUGGAGAUGAUGCGUCCGCGUAGGGUUCUUGGCGAUGUUCUUGCUGGUCCAAAAUAAACAAGACAGGAGGUUGGUGGUGCAUCUGUCCGGUGAGGCCGAGGUGGAUCCGGGCAGAGCAAGUGUCGGGGCGAGUCCUGCUGGAGCUCGGGGAAGCUCCUGGCGAGGCCGUCGGGAACGCCGACGACAUGUGGGCGUGGAGGCAGAGGAGCUCAAGGGGAGGCUCGGGCAGAGGAAGAAGUACCCACGUGCUUGGCGGCCUUGGUCAACGGUGGGUGACGAGGUAGAGACGGAGUCGCGGGAGGGGGGCGAGUGGACGUGGCUUCGACGGAGGUGCUCGCUGGCGACGGCCGAAACGCGGCGGGGCCCUGGCUCCUGGUGGCGCUCGGGCCGAGCGAGGUCGUCAGCCGGCGUAGCGCGACGGUGGCGCACGGCGGUGGGGUUGUGCGCGAGGUAGGUGGCGGCGCAUGGGAGAGGGAGGAGGGCAGCAGUGGUCGCAGCGCCAAGGCGAGGUGGAGGAGGAGCUGAGGACGGGGAGGCCGGCGUGGUCGCACGCAUUUCUCGUUGGUGGCGGCGCGAGGGAGAGAGCGAAGGGAGAGGUGCGCGAUAGGGAUCGGGCGUGGGAGAUCGAGAGAGAGAGAGAAAAGGAUCACAACGAGAGGAGGGGGUCGAGCGAGGCCGCAGCGCUCGCUGACUCUGGCGGUGCGAGGGAGAGGGUCCAGAAGCGCCUAGGGUUAGGAGGGAUACGGGCCUUGGGCCAAAAGGUCAAGGAUUGGCCUUGUUGGGCUGGGCUAAAAGGAAGACUAGGAAGAGAGAAGGAGAGGGCCAGCCUGGAAAGCUAAAUUGGGCUCCCAAUAAAAAAAUAAAAAUUAAAGAGAACUUUGGAGAACAGAAAGAGAGAAUUAGAAAAGGAAUUAGACCAACAGGGAUAUUUUCCUUGGACCAAGAAAAAAUGAAGGAUUUAACAAAAAUGGUUGGAAGAGGUUUGGGCAAACUAGGUCCACACUCAUUUGAAUUUAAUUCAAAUGGGUUCUAAAAGAAAGUGGGUGCUAGGACGGUCCAGAAAUGAUUGAGAAUCUCGGUGGAGCUCCAAAAAAAUAGAGAAAGGAUAUAUAGCAAAGUUAGAGGCCAAUAGUUGUGAUAACAAAGGCAUUGGGAUUUUGCAAGUGUGCUAAGGUGAAUUCCAAAACAAUGGAAUUUUUAAUAUAGCUCCCUAAUAAUAGUAGGAGACUUUUAUAUGUUAUAAAGAGAAUUUCACCAUGUGACUCCCUUGAUUUAAAUAGAUCAACGAUCUAUGCAAUUUAUUUAAGUGAGAUGCGAAAGAUGUAUGACAUGAUGACAUGAUGCAAUGCAAAUAAAAGGAGCAAGCAAGAAUGAAACACAUGGAGAAACUCGGAAUAGCUGGAAGUCUUCUGGAGCGUCGGUCUCGGGGCGUUACAGGGUCCUAUUGGAAACUAAGGGAUAUUAAGGCCUCAUUUUAAUAGAGAACUAGAACAAAGCAUUAACACAUAGUGAAUACAUGAACUCCUCAAACUACGGUCAUCACCGAGAGUGGUCCCGACUAUUGUCACUCCGGGGUUGCCGGAUCAUAACACAAAGCAGGUGACUAUAACUUGCAAGAUCGGAUCUAGAACAUGGAUAUAAUGGUGACAACAUAAAUGGUUCAGAUCUGAAAUCAUGGCACCCCGGCCCAAAGUGAAGAGCAUUAAGCAUGGCAAAGUCAUAGCAACAUCAAUCUAAGAACAUAGUGGAUACUAGGGAUCAAACCCUAACAAAACUAACUCGAUCACAUGAUGAAUCUCAUCCAACUCCUCACCGACCAGCGAGCCUACGAAGGAAUUACUCACUCCCGGUGGGGAGCAUCAUGGAAUUGGCAAUGGAGAAGGGUUGGUGAUGACGAAGAACGAAGAUCCCCCUCUCCGGAGCCCCAAACGGACUUCAGAUCUGGCCUCCCGAUGAAGAACAUGAGGUGACAGCGGCUCCGUCUCGUGGAUCGCAAUAAUUAUUUCUCCUUGAUUUUUUUCUAGAAAAAUAGGUAUUUAUGGAGUUGGAAUCAGGGUCUGCGGGGCCACCAGGUAGGGACAACCGACCUGGGCACGCCUGGUGAGGGGAGCGCGUCCUGGUGGGUUGUGCCCACCCAGGUGCCCCCCUCCGGUAGGUCUUGGUUCCAGAAAUUCUCUUUUAUUAUAUAAAAAUUCCUUGCAAAGUUUCGUUCCAUUCCGAGAACUUUUAUUUCUGCACAAAAACAACACCAUGGUAGUUCUGCUGAAAACAGCGUCAGUCCGGUGUUAGUUUCAUUCAAAUCAUGCAAAUUAGAGUCCAAAAUAAGAGGAAAAGUGUUAGGAAAAGUAGAUACGUUGGAGACGUAUCACUAAGAUUAGUAACUCGAAACAGGAGUUGCAAAAUGAACAAAACUAGUUAACGGCGAGGUGACGAUGUGUGUUGAAAUUGAUUCCAAGGUUGAUAAGAUCACCAUCGCACACUCCCUCUACCUUCGGGAUUAGUGUUCGACCUAAAUAAAUAUUAUUUGGUGUUUGCAUUGAGCAUGAAUAUGAUUGGAUCAUGUUUAUUGUGAUACAGUUAUUCAUUUAAGUCAGAGAAUAAUUGCUGUUCUGUUUACAUGAAUAAAACCUUCUAUGAUCAUACACCCAAUAUAAAUGGUUUAUUGAAUCUCGAUUGUAGUGAUACACAUAUUCAUAAUAUUGAUAUCAAAAGAUGCAAAGUUGAUAAUGAUAGUGCAACAUACUUGUGGCACUGCCGUUUAGGUCAUAUUGGUGUAAAGCACAUGAAGAAACACCAUGCAGGUGGGCUUUUGGAAUCACUUGAUUAUGACUAAGAUUGACUAAGACUCCGUUCCCCGGAAUAAUGGAGCGAGCAACAGACUUGUUGGAAAUAAUACGUAUUGAUGUAUGCGGUCCGAUGAGUGUUGAUGCUCGGGCUAAUAUUUGCAACUCGAAAUAGGGGCUACGGAUUAAGCGAAGACUGGCUAAGCACGAGGUAACGAUGCGCGUGGGAAAUGGUUUCCAAGUCGAUGUGAUUGUCGUCGGCAUGCUACCUCUACAUCUACCUUCGGGAUUAGUUUUAGACCUAAAUAAUUGUUAUUUGGUGCCAGCGUUGAGCAUGAACAUUAUAUCUGGAUCUUGUUUAAUGCGAGACGGUUAUUCACUUAAAUCAGAGAAUAAUGGUUGUUCUAUUUAUAUGAGUGAUAUCUUUUAUGGUCAUGCACCCUUGAUGAGUGAUCUAUUUUUACUAAAUCUUGAUAGCAGUGAUACACAUGUUCAUAGUAUUGAAGCCAAAAGAUAUAAGUUUAAUAAUGAUAAUGCAGCUUAUUUGUGGCACUGCCGUUUAGGUCAUAUUGGUGUAAAGCACAUGAAGAAACUCCAUGCUGAUGGACUUUUGGAAUCACUUGAUUAUGAAUCACUUGAUGCUUGCGAACCAUGCCUCAUGGGCAAGAUGACUAAAACUCCGUUCUCCGGAACAAUGGAGCGAGCCAAUGACUUAUUAGAAAUAAUACAUACCGAUAUAUGCGGUCCGAUGAGUGUUGAAGCACGCGGCAGGUAUCAUUAUUUUUCUGACAUUCACAAAUGAUUUGAGUAGAUAUGGGUAUGUCUACUUAAUGAAACACAAGUCUGAAACAUUUGAAAAGUUCAAGGAAUUUCAGAGUUUAGUGGAGAAUCAUCGUAGCAAGAAAAUAAAGUUUCUACGAUCUGACCGCGGAGGCGAAUAUUUGAGUUACGAGUUUGGCCUUCAUUUAAAACAAUGUGGAAUAGUUUCACAACUCACGCCACCUGGAACACCAUAGUGUAAUGGUGUGUCCGAACAUCGUAACCGUAUUUUAUUGGAUAUGGUGCGUUCUAUGAUGUCUCUUACCGAUUUACCACUAUCGUUUUGGGGUUAUGCAUUAGAGACAGCUGCAUUCACGUUAAAUAGGGCACCAUCUAAAUCCGUUGAGAUGACACCGUAUGAACUAUGGUUGGCAAGAAACCUAAGCUCUCAUUUCUUAAAGUUUGGGGUUGUGAUGCUUAUGUGAAAAAGCUUCAGCCUGGUAAGCUCGAACCCAAAUCGGAGAAGUGUGUCUUCAUAGGAUACCCAAAAGAAACCGUUGGGUACACCUUCUAUCACAGAUCCGAAGGCAAGAUCUUUGUUGCUAAGAAUGGAGAAGGAGUUUAUCUCGAAAGAAGUGGGAGGAAAGUAGAACUUGAUGAGGUAGUUGUACCUUCUCUUGAAUUGGAAAGUAGCUCAUCACAAAAAAAUUGUUCCACUGAUGCCUACACCAACUAGAGAGGAAGCUAAUGAUAAUGAUCAUGAAACUUCGGAUCAAGUUACUACCAAACCUCGUAUGUCAACCAGACCACGUUCCGCACCAGAGUGGUACGGUAAUCCUGUUCUGGAGGUCAUGUUACUAGACCAUGACGAACCUACAAACAAUGAAGAAGCUAUGAUGAGCCCAGAUUCCAACAGAUGGCUUGAGGCCAUGAAAUAUGAGAUAGGAUCCAUGUAUGACAACAAAGUAUGUGAAGGAAAUAUGCCCUAGAGGCAAUAAUAAAGUUAUUAUUUAUUUCCUUAUAUCAUGAUAAAUGUUUAUUAUUCAUGCUAGAAUUGUAUUAACCGGAAACAUGAUACAUGUGUGAAUACAUAGACAAACAGAUUGUCACUAGUAUGCCUCUACUUGACUAGCUCGUUGAUCAAAGAUGGUUAUGUUUCCUAACCAUAAACAUGAGUUGUCAUUUGAUAAACGGGAUCACAUCAUUAGGAGAAUGAUGUGAUUGACUUGACCCAUUUCGUCAGCUUAGCACUUGAUCAUUUUAGUUUACUGUUGUUGCUUUCUUCAUGACUUAUACAUGUUCCUAUGACUAUGAGAUUAUGUAACUCCCGAUUACCGAAAGAACACUUUGUGUGCUACCAAAUGUCACAAUGUAACUGGGUGAUUAUAAAGGUGCUCUACAGGUGUCUCAGAUGGUACUUGUUCAGUUGACAUAGAUCAAGAUUAGGAUUUGUCACUCCGAUUAUCAGAGAGGUAUCUCUGGGCCCACUCGGUAAUACACAUCACUAUAAGCCUUGCAAGCAUUGUAACUAAUGAGUUAGUUGUGGGAUGAUGCAUUACAGAAUGAGUAAAGAGACUUGUCGGUAACGAGAUUGAACUUGGUAUUGAGAUACCGACGAUCGAAUCUCGGACAAGUAACAUACCGAUGACAAAGGGAACAACGUAUGUUGUUAUGCGGUUUGACCGAUAAAGAUCUUCAUAGAAUAUGUGGGAGCCAAUAUGAACAUCCAGGUUCCGCUAUUGUUUAUUGACCGGAUAUGUGUCUCGGUCAUGUCUACAUAGUUCUCGAACCCGUAGGGUCCGCACGCUUAAAGUUCGGUGACGAUCGGUAUUAUGAGCUUUUGUGUUUUGAUGUACCGAAGGUAGUUCGGAGUCCCGGAUAUGAUCACGGAGAUGACGAGGAGUCUCGAAAUGGUCGAGACGUAAAGAUUGAUAUAUUGGAUGACUAUAUUCGGGCACCAGAAGUGUUCCGGGUGAUUUUGGAGAAAACUGGAGUGCCGGAGGGUUACCGGAACCCCCUCGGGAGAAAUAAUGGGCCUUAUGGGCCUUAGUGGAGAGAAAGAGGGUUGGCCUAGGGCAGGCCGCCCCCCCCCCCUCUGGUCCGAAUUGGAGUAGGAGAGGGGGGCGGCGCCCCCCUUUCCUUCUCCCUCUCCCCCUUCCUUUCCCCCUCCUAGUACGAGUAGGAAAGAGGGGAAUCCUACUCCUACUAGGAGGAGGACUCCUCCUCCUGGUGCGCCAUAGAGGGCUGGUCAGCCUCCCCCCUUGCUCCUUUAUAUACGGGGGCAGGGGGCACCUCUAGACACACAAGUUGAUCAUUGAUCCUGAUGAGGACAUCAAUACCAUUGUUGCACCCACAGCCCCCGCAGCUAUACAUACUGGACCAAUUACUAGAGCUCGUGCACGCCAAUUGAAUUAUCAGGUACUUUCGUUUCUUGGUAACAAUUCUAAUGUUCAUGAGAAUAUGAUGCUGCCUAAAUUGGAUAAUUUGUUUUGCUUACAAAUGAAGGGCCUAGUUUGGACAAGACAGAUGAACCUUGGAGCAAGUUCAAGCAUGGAGAUGAUGGCAUGCGCAAGGGGCUCAAGAACGGAGUUACAAGUGAUGAUUUCAAGACUUUGAAGCCACCAUAAGGAGUGCAUGAAGCCUUGGACGAAAUAUACAAGAUGCCACUUCAUAAAUUUCGUCCAGAGGCUAUUCUAGGUGCUGAGUCACCUUAUUAUUGGGCCAGGCCCAUGUAUUUUCGAAAUACUUAAGUAUAGGCUGUUUUUAGAGUCUGUAUGUGUGGGGAAACAAGAGUUGGGGUUGGCUUCGGACCCCUCCUCCAAGGGCCACGAAAUUCCCCCCUCUUCCUCCAUAUAUACAGCCCUUAGGGCGUCGUUUAGACUUUGGGUUUUGUUUAGAUUAAAGUUCGCCACAGCUGCAACUUCGCAUACUUCAUUUGUGUUCAAUGACCAGACAAAGGCGUCACAGAACCCCACCUUGAUCAAUAAAGCUUUCAUCUUAUAUUCGCAAUAUCCAGAUUGUAAUCUUAGUUUCUUGCUUGUUCUCCGUUUGCCUGCAGGAAACAGACCUUCGUGGUCAGGUUGAUCAUGCUCCCGCGUGGUCAAUAACCUCUCAGAGUUGGUUUAGCGAUUGCUAAGGUGCGACGUCCUCGCACAUUCGUAGUCGGAUCGUCAAAGUCGAUUUCCUCCAAAAUGAUAGCCACCAUCUCAUCGAAACACGAGACACCUUUGCCUCUAUCAGAUCCCUUAGCCGUGUGCGGUGCCCCCCUCCACCAUAAUCCACCUCGAUCAUAUCGUGGUGGUGCUUAGGCGAAGCCCUGCGUCGGUAGCAACAUCAUCACCAUCAACAUGCCGUCGUGCUGACGGAACUCUCCCGUGAAGCUCUACUGGAUCGGAGUUCGUGGGAUGUCAUCGAGCUGAACGUGUGUUGAACUCGGAGGUGCUGUGCGUUCGGUACUUGGAUCGGUCGGAUCGUGAAUACGUUCGACUACAUCAACCGCGUUAUCAUAAUGCUUCCGCUUACGGUCUACGAGGGUACAUGGACGAUACUCUUCCCUCUCGUUGUUAUGCAUCACCAUGAUCUUGCGUGUGCGUAGGAAUUUUUUUGAAAUUACUACAUUCCCCAAUAGUGGCAUCCGAGCCUGGUUUAUGCGUAGCUGUUAUAUGCACGAGUAGAACACAAGUGAGUUGUGGACGAUACAAGUCAUACUGCUUACCAGCAUGUCACACUUUGGUUCGGCGGUAUUGUUGGAUGAAGCGGCACGGACCGAUAUUACGCGUACGCUUACACGAUACUGGUCCUACCAAUGUGCUUUGCACACAGGUGGCUGGCGGGUGUCAGUUUCUCCAACUUUAGUUGAAUCAAGUGUGGCUAUGCCCGGUCCUUGAGAAGGUUAAAACAUCACUAACUUGACAAACUAUCGUUGUGGUUUUGAUGCAUAGGUAAGAACGGUUCUUGCUCAGCCCGUAGCAGCCACGUAAAACUUGCAACAACAAAGUAGAGGACGUCUAACUUGUUUUUGCAGGGCAUGCUGUGAUGUGAUAUGGUCAAGACAAGAUGCAAUAUUUUGUUGUAUGAGAUGAUCAUGUUUUGUAACCGAGUUAUCACCAACUGGCAGGAGCCAUAUGGUUGUCGCUUUAUUGUAUGCAAUGCAAUCGCCAUGUAAUUGCUUUACUUUAUCACUAAGCGGUAGCGAUAGUCGUAGAAGCGAUAGUUGGCGAGACGACAACGAUGCUACAAUGGAGAUCAAGGUGUCGCGCCGGUGACAAUGGUGAUCAUGACGAUGCUUUGGAGAUGGAGAUCACAAGCACAAGAUGAUGAUGGCCAUAUCAUAUCACUUAUAUUGAUUGCAUGUGAUGUUUAUCUUUUAUGCAUCUUAUUUUGCUUAGAUCGACGGUAGCAUUAUAAGAUGAUCUCUCACUAAAUUUCAAGGUACAAGUGUUCUCCCUGAGUAUGCACCGUUGCAAAAGUUCAUCAUGCCGAGACACCACGUGAUGAACUGGUGUGAUAAGCUCUACGUUCACAUACAACGGGUGCAAGCCAGUUUUGCACAUGCAGAAUACUCGGGCUAAACUUGGCAAGCCUAGCAUAUGCAGAUAUGGCCUCGGAACACUGGAGACCAAAAGGUCGAGCGUGAAUCAUAUAGAAGAUAUAAUCAACAUAUUGAUGUUCACCAUUGAAAACUACUCCAUCUCACGUGAUGAUCGGACAUGGUUUAGUUGAUAUGGAUCACGUGAUCACUUAGAUGAUUAGAGGGAUGUCUAUCUAAGUGGGAGUUCUUUAAUAAUUUGAUUAACUGAACCUUAAUUUAUCAUGAACUUAGUACCUAAUAGUAUUUUUGCAUGUCUAUGUUAUUGUAGAUAGAUGGCCCGUGUUGUUGUUCCGUUGAAUUUUAAUGCAUUCCUUGAGAAAGAAAAGUUGAAAGAUGAUGGUAGCAAUUACACGGACUGGGUCCGUAACUUGAGGAUUAUCCUCAUUGCUGCACAGAAGAAUUACGUCUUGGAAGCACCGCUAAGUGCCAAACCUGCUGCAGGAGCAACACCAGAUGUUAUGAACGUCUGGCAGAGCAAAGUUGAUGACUACUCGAUAGUUCAGUGUGCCAUGCUUUACGGCUUAGAACCAGGACUUCAACGAUGUUUUAAACGUCAUGGAGCAUAUGAGAUGUUCCAGGAGUUGAAGUUAAUAUUUCAAGCAAAUGCUCGGAUUGAGAGAUAUGAAGUCUCCAAUAAGUUCUACAACUGCAAGAUGGAGGAGAAUAGUUCUGUUAGUGAACAUAUACUCAGAAUGUCUGGGUACCAUAACCACUUGACUCAACUGGGAGUUAAUCUUCCUAUUGAUAGUGUCAUUGACAGAGUUCUUCAAUCACUGCCACCAAGCUACAAGAGCUUCAUGAUGAACUAUAACAUGCAAGGGAUGAAUAAAACAAUUCCUGAGCUCUUCGCAAUGCUAAAGGCCAUGGAGGUAGAAAUCAAGAAGGAGCAUCAAGUGUUGAUGGUUAACAAGACCACCAGUUUCAAGAAAAAGGGUAAAGGGAAGAAGAAAGGGAACUUCAAGAAGAACGGCAAACAAGUUGCUUCUCAAGAGAAGAAACCCAAGUCUGGACCUAAGCCUGAGACUGAGUGCUUCUACUGUAAACAGACUGGUCACUGGAAGCGGAACUGCCCCAAGUAUUUGGCGGAUAAGAAGGGUGGCAAGGUGAACAAAGGUAUAUGUGAUAUACAUGUUAUUGAUGUGUACCUUACUAAUUCUCGCAGUAGUGCCUGGGUAUGUGAUACUGGUUCUGUUGCUAAUAUUUGCAACUCGAAACAGGGAGUACGGAUUAAACGAAGAUUGGCAAAGGACGAGGUGACGAUGCGCGUGGGAAAUGGUUCCAAAGUCGAUAUGAUCGCAGUCGGCACGCUACCUCUACAUCUACCUUCGGGAUUAGUAUUAGACAUGAAUAAUUAUUAUUUGGUGCCAGCGUUAAGCAUGAAAAUUAUAUCUGGAUCUUGUUUGAUGCAAGACGGUUAUUCAUUUAAAUCAGAUAAUAAUGGUUGUUCUAUUUAUAUGAGUAAUAUCUUUUAUGGUCAUGCACCCUUAAAGAGUGGUCUACUCUUUUUGAAUCUCGAUAGUGGAGAUACACAUAUUCAUAGUAUUGAAGCUAAAAGAUGCAGAGUUGAUAAUGAUAGUGCAACUUAUUUGUGGCACUGCCGUUUGGGUCAUAUUGGUAUAAAGCGCAUGAAGAAACUCCAUUCUGAUGGACUUUUGGAACCACUUGAUUAUGAAUCACUUGGUACUUGCGAACCGUGACUCAUGGGCAAGAUGACUAAAACGCCGUUCUCUGGAACUAUGGAGCGAGCUACAGAUUUGUUGGAAAUCAUACUAAUGUAUGUGGUCCGAUGAAUAUUGAGGCUCGCGGCGGGUAUCGUUAUUUUCUCACCUUCACACAUGAUUUAAGCAGAUAUGGGUAUAUCUACUUGAUGAAACAUAAGUCUGAAACAUUUGAAAAGUUAAAAGAAUUUCAGAGUGAAGUGGAAAAUCAUCGUAACAAGAAAGUAAAGUUUCUAUGAUCUGAUCGUGGAGGAGAAUAUUUGAGUUAUGAGUUUGGUCUUCAUUUGAAACAAUGCGGAAUAGUUUCGCAACUCAUGCCACCCGAAACACCACAGCGUAAUGGUGUGCCCGAACGUCGUAAUCGUACUUUACUAGAUAUGGUGCGAUCUAUGAUGUCUCUUACUGAUUUACCGCUAUCAUUUUGGGGUUAUGCUUUAGAGACGGCUGCAUUCAUGUUAAAUAGGGCACCAUCUAAAUCUGUUGAGACGACUCCUUAUGAAUUGUGGUAUGGUAAGAAACCAAAGUUGUCGUUUCUUAAAGUUUGGGGCUGCGAUGCUUAUGUGAAAAAGCUUCAACCUGAUAAGCUCGAACCCAAACCGGAGAAAUGUGUCUUCAUAGGAUACCCAAAAGAGACAUUUGGGUACACCUUCUAUCACAGAUCCGAAGGCAAGACUUUUGUUGCUAAGAAUGGAUCCUUUCUAGAGAAGGAGUUUCUCUCGAAAGAAGUGAGUGGGAGGAAAGUGGAACUUGAUGAGGUAACUGUACCUGCUCCCUUAUUGGAAAGUAGUUCAUCACAGAAACCGGUUUCUGUGACACCUACACCAAUUAGUGAGGAAGCUAAUGAUGAUGAUCAUGAAACUUCAGAUAAAGUUACUACCGAACCUCAUAGGUCAACCAGAGUAAGAUCUGCACGAGAGUGGUACAGUAAUCCUGUUCUGGAAGUCAUGUUACUAGACCAUGAUGAACCUACGAACUAUGAGGAAGCGAUGAUGUGCCCAGAUUCCGUAAAAUGGCUUGAGGCCAUGAAAUUUGAGAUGGGAUCCAUGUAUGAGAACAAAGUGUGGACUUUGGUUGACUUGCCCGAUGAUCAGCAAGCCAUCGAGAAUAAAUGGAUUUUCAAGAAGAAGACAGACGCUAAUGGUAAUGUUACUAUCUACAAAGCUUGACUUGUUGCGAAAGGUUUUCGACAAGUUCAAGGAGUUGACUACGAUGAGACCUUCUCACCCGUAGCGAUGCUUAAGUCCGUCCGAAUCAUGUUAGCUAUUGCCGCAUUUUAUGAUUAUGAAAUUUGGCAAAUGGAUGUAAAGACUGCAUUCCUGAAUGGAUUACUGGAAGAAGAGUUGUAUAUGAUGCAACCUGAAGGUUUUAUCGAUCCAAAGGGUGUUAACAAAGUGUGAAAGCUCCAGCGAUCCAUUUAUGGACUGGUGCAAGCCUCUCGGAGUUGGAAUAAACGUUUUGAUAGUGUGAUCAAAGCAUAUGGUUUUAUACAGACUUUUGGAGAAGCCUGUAUUUACAAGAAAGUGAGUCGGAGCUCUGUAGCAUUUCUAAUAUUAUAUGUGGAUGACAUAUUGUUAAUUGGAAAUGAUAUAGAAUUUCUGGAUAGCAUAAAAGGAUACUUGAAUAAGAGUUUUUCAAUGAAAGACCUCAGUGAAGCUGCUUACAUAUUGGGCAUCAAGAUCUAUAGAGAUAGAUCAAGACGCUUAAUUGGACUUUCACAAAGCACAUACCUUGACAAAGUUUUGAAGAAGUUCAAAAUGGAUCAUGUAAAGAAAGGAAUCUUGCCUGUGUUACAAGGUGUGAAGUUGAGUAAGACUCAAUGCCCAACCACUGCAGAAGAUAGAAACAAAAUAAAGAUGUUCCCUCUGCUUCAGCCAUAGGCUCUAUCAUGUAUGCAAUUCUAUGUACCAGACCUGAUGUGUGCCUUGCUAUCAGUUUAGCAGGGAGGUACCAAGGUAAUCCAGGAGUGGAUCACUGGACAGCGGUCAAGAACAUCCUAAAAUACCUGAAAAGGACUAAGGGUAUGUUUCUCGUUUAUGGAGGUGACAAAGAGCUCAUCGUAAAUGGUUACGUUGAUGCAAGCUUUGACACUGAUCCGGACGAUUCUAAAUCACAAACCGGAUACGUGUUUAUAUUGAACGGUGGAGCUGUCAGUUGGAGCAGUUCUAAACAAAGCGUCGUGGCAGGAUCUACGUGUGAAGCGGAGUACAUUGUUGCUUCGGAAGCAGCAAAUGAAGGAGUCUGGAUGAAGGAGUUCAUAUCCGAUCUAGGUGUCAUACCUAGUGCAUCGGGUCCAAUGAAAAUCUUUUGGGACAAUACUAGUGCAAUUGCCUUGGCAAAGGAAUCCAUAUUUCACAAGAGAACCAAGCACAUCAAGAGACGCUUCAAUUCCAUCUGUGAUCAAGUCCAGGUGGGAGACAUAUAGAUUUGCAAGAUACAUACAAAUCUGAAUGUUGCAGACCCAUUGACUAACCUCUCUCACGAGCAAAACAUGAUCAUCACCAAGACUCCAUGGGUGUUAGAAUCAUUACUAUGUAAUCUAGAUUAUUGACUCUAGUGCAAGUGGGAGACUGAAGGAAAUAUGCCCUAGAGUCAAUAAUAAAGUUAUUAUUUAUUUCCUUAUUUCAUGAUAAAUGUUUAUUAUUCAUGCUAGAAUUGUAUUAACCGAAAACAUGAUACAUGUGUGAAUACAUAGACAAACAGAUUGUCACAGUAUGCCUCUACUUGACUAGCUCGUUGAUCAAAGAUGGUUAUGUUUCCUAACCAUAGACAUGAGUUGUCAUUUGAUAAAUGGGAUCACAUCAUUAGGAGAAUGAUGUGAUUGACUUGACCCAUUUCGUCAGCUUAGCACUUGAUCGUUUUAGUUUACUGGUAUUGCUUUCUUCAUGACUUAUACAUGUUCCUAUGACUAUGAGAUUAUGUAACUCCCGAUUACCGGAGGAACACUUUGUGUGCUACCUAACGUCACAACGUAACUGGGUGAUUAUAAAGGUGCUCUACAUGUGUCUCCGAUGGUACUUGUUGAGUUGACAUAGAUCAAGAUUAGGAUUUGUCACUCUGAUUGUCAGAGAGGUAUCUCUGGGCCCACUCGGUAAUACACAUCACUAUAAGCCUUACAAGCAUUGUAACUAAUGAGUUAGUUGCGGGAUGAUGCAUUACAGAACGAGUAAAGAGACUUGCCGGUAACGAGAUUGAACGAGGUAUUGAGAUACCGACGAUUGAAUCUCGGACAAGUAACAUACCGAUGACAAAGGGAACAACGUAUGUUGUUAUGCGGUUUGACCGAUAAAGAUCUUUGUAGAAUAUGUGGGAGCCAAUAUGAACAUCUAGGUUCUGCUAUUGGUUAUUGAUCGGAGAUGUGUCUCGGUCAUGUCUACAUAGUUCUCGAACCCGUAGGGUCCGCACACUUAAAGUUCGGUGACGAUCGGUAUUAUGAGUUUUUGUGUUUUGAUGUACCGAAGGUAGUUCGGAGUCCCGGAUAUGAUCAUAGACAUGACGAGGAGUCUCGAAAUGGUCGAGAUGUAAAGAUCGAUAUAGUGGAAGACUAUAUUCGGACACCAGAAUUGUUCCGGGUGAUUUCGGAGAAAACUGGAGUGCCGCAGGGUUACCGGAACCCCCCCCGGAGAAAUAAUGGGCCUUAUGGGCCUUAGUGGAGAGAGAGAGGGCUGGCCUAGGGCAGGCCGCGCACCCCUCCCCCUCUGGUCCGAAUUGGAGUAGGAGAGGGGGGGCGGCGCCCCCCUUUCCUUCUCCCUCUCCCCCUUCCUUUACCCCUCCUAGUAGGAGUAGGAAAGAGGGGAGUCCUACUCCUACUAGGAGGAGGACUCCUCCUGGCGCGCCAUAGAGGGUCGGCCGGCCUCCCCCUUGCUCCUUUAUAUACGGGGGCAGGGGGGCACCUCUAGACACACAAGUUGAUCAUUGAUCCCUUAGCCGUGUGCGGUGCCCCCCUCCACCAUAAUCCACCUCGAUAAUAUCGUAGCGGCGCGUAGGCGAAGCCCUGCGUCGGUAGAAACAUCAUCACAGUCAACACGCCAUCGUGCUGACGGAACUCUCCCAUGAAGCUCUGCUGGAUCAGAGUUCGUGGGACGUCAUCGAGCUGAACGCGUGCUGAACUCGGAGGUGUCGUGCGUUCGGUACUUGGAUCGAUCAGAUUGUGAAGACGUUCGACUACAUCAACCGUGUUCUCAUAACGCUUCCGCUUAUGGUCUACGAGGGUACAUGGAUGAUACUCUUCCCUCUCAUUGCUAUGCAUCACCAUGAUCUUGUGUGUGCGUAGGAAUUUUUUUUGAAAUUACUAUGUUCCCCAACAGUAUGGACUUUGGUUGACUUGCCCUAUGAUUGGCAAGCCAUAGAGAAUAAAUGGAUCUUCAAGAAGAAGACUGACGCUGAUGGUAAUGUUACUGUCUACAAAGCCCGACUUGUUGCGAAAGGUUUUCGACAAGUUCAAGGAGUUGAAUAUGAUGAGACUUUCUCACCCGUAGUGAUGCUUAAGUCUAUCUGAAUCAUGUUAGCAAUUGCCGCAUUUUAUGAUUAUGAAAUUUGUUAAAUGGACAUCAAAACUACAUUCCUUAAUGGAUUUCUUAAAGAAGAGUUGUAUAUGAUGCAACCAGAAGGUUUUGUCGAUCCUAAAGGUGCUAACAAAGUGUGCAAGCUCCAGUGAUCCAUUUAUGGACUAGUGCAAGCAUCUUGGAGUUGGAAUAUACGCUUUGAUGAGGUGAUCAAAGCAUAUGGUUUUAUACAAACUUUUGGUGAAGCCUGUAUUUACAAGAAAGUGAGUGGGAGCUCUGUACCAUUUCUGAUAGUAUAUGUGGAUGACAUAUUGUUGAUCGAAAAUGAUAUAGAAUUUCUGGAUAGCAUAAAAGGAUAUUUGAAUAAGAUUUUUCCAUGAAAUACCUCGAUGAAGCUACUGACAUAUUAAGCAUCAAGAUCUAUAGAGAUAGAUCAAGACGCUUGAUAAGACUUUCAGUGAGUACAUACCUUGACAAGUUCUUGAAGGAGUUCAAAAUGGAUCAGUCAAAGAAGGAGUUCUUGCCUGUAUUGUAAGGUCCGAAGUUGAGUAAGACUCAAAACCCGACCACGGGAGAAAAUAGAAAGAGAAUGAAAGCCAUUCCCUAUGCCUCGGCCAUAGGUUCUAUAAAGUAUGUUAUGUUGUAUACUAGACCUAUUGUGUACCUUGCCAUGAGUUUGGCAAGGGGGUACAAUAGUGAUCCAGGAGUGAAUCACUGGCCAGCAGUCAAAGUUAUCCUUAGUUACCUAAGAGGACUAAGGAAAUAUUUCUCGGUUAUGGAGGUGAUAAAGAGUUCGUCGUGAAGAGUUACGUCAAUGCAAGCUUUUACACCGAUCCAGGUGACUCUGAGUCUCAAUCUAGAUACGUAUUGAAAAUGGGAGCAAUUAGCUAGAGUAGCUCCAUGCAGAGCAUAUUAGACAUAUAAAUUUGCAAAAUACAUGCAGAUCUGAAUAUGGCAGACCCAUUGACUAAACCUCUCUCACAAGCAAAACAUGAUCACACCUUAGUACUCUUUGGGUGUUAAUCACAUAGCGAUGUGAACUAGAUUAUUGACUUUAGUAAACCCUCUGGGUGUUGGUCACAUGGCGAUGUGAACUAUGAGUGUUAAUCACAUGGCGAUGUGAACUAUUGAUAGGUCUCCAACGUAUCUAUAAUUUUUGAUUGCUCCAUGCUAUAUUAUCUACUGUUUUGGAUGUUUAUGGGCUUUAUUAUACACUUUUAUAUCAUUUUUGGGACUAACCUAUUAACCCAGAGCCCAGUGCCAGUUUCUGUUUUUACCUUGUUUUAGGGUUUCGAAGAAAAGGAAAACCAAACGGAGUCCAAUUGACCUGAAACUUCAUGGAACCCAUUUUUGAAAGAAAAGAAGCCCAGAAGACUUGAGGUGCACGUAAGGGAAGCUUUGAGGAGGCCAUGAGGUAGGGGGGGCGCCCACCCCCCUGGGCGCGCCCUCCACCCUCGUGGGCCCCUCGUGGCUCCCCUGAUGUACUUCUUCCGCCUAUAUAUCUCCAUAUACCCUAAAAACAUCCGGGAGCACAAUAGAUCAGGAGUUCCGCUGCCAGAAGCCUUCGUAGCCACCGAAAGCCAAUCUAGACCCGUUCCGGCACCCUGCCGGAGGGGGCAAUCCCUCUCCGGUGGCCAUCUUCAUCAUCCCGGUGCUCUCCAUGACGAGGAGGGAGUAGUUCUCCCUCGGGGCUGAGGGUAUGUACCAGUAGCUAUGUGUUUGAUCUUUCUCUCUCUCUCAUGUUCUUGAGAUGAUACGAUCUUGAUGUAUCGCGAGCUUUGCUAUUAUAUUUGGAUCCUAUGAUGUUUCUUCCCCCUCUACUCUCUUGUAAUGAAUUGAGUUUCCCCUUUGAAGUUAUCUUAUCGGAUUGAGUCUUUAAAGAUUUGAGAACACUUGAUGUAUGUCUUGCCGUGGAUAUCUGUGGUGACAAUGGGAUAUCACAUGAUUCACUUGAUGUAUGUUUUGGUGAUCAACUUGCGGGUUCCGCCCAUGAACCUAUGCAUAGGGGUUGGCACACGUUUUUGUCGUGAUUCUCUGGUAGAAACUUUGGGGCACUCUUUGAGGUUCUCUGUGUUGGUUGAAUAGAUGAAUAUGAGAUUGUGUGAUGCAUAUCGUAUAAUCAUGCCCACGGAUACUUGAGGUGACAUUGGAGUAUCUAGGUGGCAUUAGAGUUUUGAUUGAUUUGUGUCUUAAGGUGUUAUUCUAGUACGAACUCUAGGGCUGUUUGUGACACUUAUAGGAAUAGCCCAACAGACUGAUUGGAAAUAAUAACUUUGAGGUGGUUUCGUACCCUACCAUAAUCUCUUCGUUCGUUCUCCGCUAUUAGUGACUUUGGAGUGACUCUUUGUUGCAUGUUGAGGGAUAGUUUUGUGAUCCAAUUAUGCUAUUAUUGUUGAGGGAACUUGCACUAGCGAAAGUAUGAACCCUAGGCCUUAUUUCCUAUCAUUGCAAUACCGUUUAUGCUCACUUUUUAUCACUUUCUACCUUGCUGUUUUUAUAUUUUCAUAUUACAAAUACCCAUAUCUACUAUCCAUAUACCACUUGUAUCACCAUCUCUUCGCCGAACUAGUGCACCUAUACAAUUUACCAUUGUAUUGGGUGUGUUGGGGACACAAGAGACUCUUUGUUAUUUGGUUGCAGGGUUGCUUGAGAGAGACCAUCUUCAUCCUAUGCCUCCUACGGAUUGAUAAACCUUAGGUCAUCCACUUGAGGGAAAUUUGCUACUAUCCUACAAACCUCCGCACUUGGAGGCCCAACAACGUCUACAAGAAGAAGGUUGUGUAGUUGACAUCAAGCUCUUUUCUGGCGCCGUUGCCAGCGAGGUGAGUGCUUGAAGGUAUAUCUUUAGAUCUUGCAAUCAAGUCUUUUAGUUUCUUGUUUUAUCACUAGUUUAGUUUAUAAAAUAAAACUAUAAAAAAUGGAAUUGAGUUUGUCUCAUACGGUUCACCUUUUAAUAUCUUUCGUGAGUAUGAUGGAAAGGAUAAUUGUGCUUAAGUGCUAGAAGAAGAAAUCUAUAAAAUGUUUGGCACUAAAUAUUUGAAUGAUGAGCAUGAUUGCAAUGUUGUUAGUAUGAAUUCCUUGAAUAUCCAUGAUGCUAAUGAUAUGCAAAGCCACAAGCUUGGGGAAGCUAUUUUUGAUGAAGAUGAUAUUUUUUGUCCCCCAAGUUUUGAUGAGCAAAUUUAUUAUGAUGAAAGCAUGCCUCCUAUCUAUGAUGAUUAUUGUGAUGACAUGUAUGCUUUGAAGAAUAAUGAUAACCAUGAAACUUCUCAUCUUGAUCUUAAUUUUCAAUCACAUGAUAGUUAUUUUGUUGAGUUUGCUCCCACUAUUAUUCAUGAGAAGAAUUUUGCUUGUGUGGAGAGUAGUAAAUUUUGUAUGCUUGUAGACCAUGAAAAGAAUGCUUUAAGUUCUGGUUAUAUUGUUGAAUUCAUUCAUGAUGCUACUGAAAAUUAUUAUGAGGGAGGAAUAUAUGCUUUUAGGAAUUGCAAUAAUAUCAAGUUUCCUCUCUAUGUGCUUAAAAUUUUGAAGUUAUGCUUGUUUUACCUACCUAUGCAAGUUGAUUCUUGUUCCCACAAGUUGUUUGCUCACAAAAUCCCUAUGCAUAGUAAGCAUGGUAGAAUUAAAUGUGAUAGUCACAUUCUUCAUGACGCUCUCUUUAUGUUUCAAUUCUUAUCUUUUAUGUGAGCAUCGUUGAAAUCAUCAUGCCUAGCUAGGGGCGUUAAACGAUAGCGCUUGUUGGGAGGCAACCCAAUUUUAUUUUAGUUCCUUGCUUUUAGUUCCUGUUUAGUAAUAAAUAAUUCAUCUAUCCUCUGUUUAGAUGUGGUUUUAUUUUUUUAAUUAGUGUUUGUGCCAAGUAGAACCUCUGGGAAGACUUGGGGAAAGUCUUGUUGAUCAUGCUGUAAAAAACAGAAACUUUAGCGCUCACGAGAAUUGCUGCCAUUUUUAUUUGGAAGUGCUAUUUAGUUAAUUCUUUUUGCAGAUGAUUAAUAGAUAAAUUCCUCAGGUCCAUCAAUUUAUUUGAGAAUUUUAUGAGUUCCAGAAGUAUACGUUUGAUCCAGAUUACUACAGACUGUUCUGUUUUUGACAGAUUCUGUUUUCUAUGUGUUGUUUGCUUAUUUUGAUGAAUCUGUGGCUAGUAAAAGAGUUUAUAAACCAUAGAGAAGUUGGAAUGCAGUAGGUUUAACACCAAUAUAAAUAAAUAAUGAGUUCAUUACAGUACCUUGAAGUGGUGAUUUAUUUUCUUAUACUAAUGGAGCUUACGAGUUUUCUGUUAAGUUUUGUGUUGUGAAGUUUUCAAGUUUUGGGUAAGGAUUCGAUGAACUAUGGAAUAAGGAGUGGAAAGAGCCUAAGCUUGGGUAUGCCCAAGGCACCCCAAUGUAAUAUUCAAGGAUAGCCAAGAGCCUAAGCUUGGGGAUGCCCCGGAAGGCAUCCCCUUUUUCGUCUUUGUUCAUCGGUAACUUUACUUGGAGCUAUAUUUUUAUUCACCACAUGAUAUGUAUUUUGCUUGGAGCGUCAAUUUAUUUUGUUAAGAUUUUCUUGAUGUUAUUUAGAAAAAUGUUUUUCAUCUUUUAUUUCAAUAAAAGUGGCAUUGAUAGCCUUUACUAUGCCUAUUUUAGAAUUCCACAUGUUACUGUUUGAAAACAGAAAGUUUACUACUAUUGCAAUAAUUCCCUAGAAAAGUCAGAAUGUGAUAAAAUGUUUAAACCUAUUUCAUAUUAAGCUCUGAUAAAUUUACUACAGUGGGAAUUUUAUUUCAUAAUUUUUGGAGUUAGGGAAGUAUGGAUCUUGCUGCACUCUUUACAGACUAUCCUGUUUAGGCAGAUUGCUGUUAUGUUUGCAUUGUUUGCAUAUGUUUGCUUCUUUAAUGAUUCUAUUUGAGGAUAGGACUAUUAAAUAUGCAGAGACAUUUAGUAUGCAAUGUUGAAUAAUAAUUUUAGUGAUUUGCUACAGUAGAGUAUGAUAAGGUUUUGGCAAUGGUUUAUACUAACUUAUCUCACGAGUCCUUGUUGAGUUUUGUGUGCAUGAAGCUUUUGAGAUUUAGGGAGACCGCGAUAUGAGAGGAAUUAAGGAGACACAAAAGCUCAAGCUUGGGGAUGCCCAAGGCAUCCCAAGAUAAUAUUUCAAGAAGUCUCAAGCGUCUAAGCUUGGGGAUGCCCCGGUUGGCAUCCCACCUUUCUUCUUCAACAACUAUCGGUUAGUAUCGGUUGAUCCUAAGUUUUUGCUUCUUCACAUGAUGUUUGCUAUUCUUAGAAUGUCAUUUUCUUUUGCUUUGCUUGCUGUUUAAAUAAAGUAUCAAGGCCUGAAAUUAUUAAAUGGGAGAGUCUUCACAUAGUUGCAUAAUUAUUCGACUAAUUGAUCUUCACUUAUAUCUUUCGGAGUAGUUUGUCAUUUGCUCUAGUGCUUCAAUUAUAUCCUUUUAGAGCACGGUGGUGGUUUUAUUAUAUAGAAAUAGAUGAACUCUCAUGCUUAACUUAUAUUAUUUUUAGAAUCUUAAAUAGCAUGAUAAUUUGCUCAAAUAAUCCUAAUAUGCUAGGCAUCCAAGAAUAGUAAAAACUUUCUUAUAAGUGUGUUGAAUACUAAGAGAAGUUUGAUACUUGAUGAUUGUUUUGAGAUAUGGAGAUGGUAAUAUUAGAGUCAUGCUAGUUGAGUAGCUGUGAAUUUGAGAAAUACUUGUGUUAAAGUUUGUGAUUCCCAUAGCAUGCACGUAUGGUGAACCGUUAUGUGAUAAAGUCGGAGCAUGAUUUAUUUAUUGAUUGUCUUCCUUAUGAGUGGCGGUCGGAGACGAGCGAUGGUCUUUUCCUACCAAUCUAUCUCCCUAGGAGCAUGCGCGUAGUACUUUGUUUCGAUAACUAAUAGAUUUUUGCAAUAAGUAUGUGAGUUCUUUAUGACUAAUGUUGAGUCCAUGGAUUAUACGCACUCUCACCCUUCCACCAUUGCUAGCCUCUCUAAUACCGCGCACCUUUCGCCGGUAUCAUACACCCACCAUAUACCUUCCUCAAAACAGCCACCAUACCUACCUAUUAUGGCAUUUCCAUAGCCAUUCCGAGAUAUAUUGUCAUGCAACUUUCCACCGUUCCAUUUACUAUGACACACUUCAUCAUUGACAUAUUGAUUUGCAUGAUCAUGUAGUUGACAUUGUAUUUGUGGCAAGGCCACCGUUCAUAAUUCUUUCAUACAUGUCACUCAUGCAUCAUUGCACAUCUCGGUACACCGCCGGAGGCAUUCAUAUAGAGUCAUAUCUUGUUCUAAGUAUCGAGUUGUAAUUCUUGAGUUGUAAGUAAAUAAAAGUGUGAUGAUCAUCAUUAUUAGAGCAUUGUCCCAGUGAGGAAAGGAUGAUGGAGACUAUGAUUCCCCCAUAAGUCGGGAUGAGACUCCGGACGAAAAAAAGAGGCCAUAAAAAAGAGAAGGCCCAAAUAAAAAAAUAAAAAAAAUGAGAGAAAAAGAGAGAAGGGGCAAUGCUACUAUCCUUUUACCACACUUGUGCUUCAAAGUAGCACCAUGAUCUUCAUGAUAGAGAGUCUCAUAUGUUGUCACUUUCAUAUACUAGUGGGAAUCUUUCAUUAUAGAACUUGGCUUGUAUAUUCCAAUUAUGGGCUUCCUCAAAAUGCCCUAGGUCUUCGUGAGCAAGCGAGUUGGAUGCACACCCACUUAGUUUCUUUUUGAGCUUUCAUACACUUAUAGCUCUAGUGCAUCCGUUGCAUGGCAAUCCCUACUCACUCACAUUGAUAUCUAUUGAUGGGCAUCUCCAUAGUCCGUUGAUACGCCUAGUUGAUGUGAGACUAUCUUCUCCUUUUUGUCUUCUCCACAACCACCAUUCUAUUCCACCAUAGUGUUAUGUCCAUGGCUCACGCUCAUGUAUUGCGUGAAGAUUGAAAAAGUUUGAGAACAUCAAAAGUAUGAAACAAUUGCUUGGCUUGUCAUCGGGGUUGUGCAUGAUUUAAAUAUGUUGUGUGGUGAAGAUGGAGCAUAGCCAGACUAUAUGAUUUUGUAGGGAUAGCCUUCUUUGGCCAUGUUAUUUUGAGAAGACAUAAUUGCUUAGUUAGUAUGCUUGAAGUAUUAUUAUUUCUAUGUCAAUACUAAACUUUUGUAUUGAAUCUUAUGGAUCUAAAUAUUCAUGCCACAAUUAAGAAGAAUUACAUUGAAAUUAUGCCAAGUAGCACUCCGCAUCAAAAAUUCUGUUUUUAUCAUUUACCUACUUGAGGACGAGCAGGAAUUAAGCUUGGGGAUGCUGAUACGUCUCCAACGUAUCUAUAAUUUUUGAUUGCUCCAUGCUAUAUUAUCUACUGUUUUGGAUGUUUAUGGGCUUUAUUAUACACUUUAUAUCAUUUUUGGGACUAACCUAUUAACCCAGAGCCCAGUGCCAGUUUCUGUUUUUACCUUGUUUUAGGGUUUCGAAGAAAAGGAAAACCAAACGAAGUCCAAUUGACCUGAAACUUCACGGAACCCAUUUUUGGAAGGAAAGAAGCCCAGAAGACUUGAAGUGCACGUAAGGGAAGCUUCGAGGAGGCCACGAGGUAGGGGGCACCCACCCCCCUGGGCGCGCCCUCCACCCUCGUGGCUCCCCUGAUGUACUUCUUCCGCCUAUAUAUCUCCAUAUACCCUAAAAACAUCCGGGAGAACAAUAGAUCGUGAGUUCCGCCGCCAGAAGCCUCCGUAGCCACCGAAAGCCAAUCUAGACCCGUUCCGGCACCCUACCGGAGGAGGCAAUCCCUCUCCGGUGGCAAUCUUCAUCAUCCCGGUGCUCUCCAUAACGAGGAGGGAGUAGUUCUCCCUCGGGGCUGAGGGUAUGUACCAGUAGCUAUGUGUUUGAUCUCCCUCUCUCUCUCGUGUUCUUGAGAUGAUAUGAUCUUGAUGUAUCGCAAGCUUUGCUAUUAUAUUUGGAUCCUAUGAUGUUUCUUCCCCCCUCUACUCUCUUGUAAUGAAUUGAGUUUCCCCUUUGAAGUUAUCUUAUCGGAUUGAGUCUUUAAAGAUUUGAGAACACUUGAUGUAUGUCUUGCCAUGCAUAUUUGUGGUGACAAUGGGAUAUCACGUGAUUCACUUGAUGUAUGUUUUGGUGAUCAACUUGCGGGUUCCGCCCAUGAACCUAUGCAUAUGGGUUGGCACACAUUUUCGUCGUGAUUCUCUGGUAGAAACUUUGGGGCACUCUUUGAGGUUCUAUGUGUUGGUUGAAUAGAUGAAUAUGAGAUUGUGUGAUGCAUAUCGUAUAAUCAUGCCCACGGAUACUUGAGGUGACAUUGGAGUAUCUAGGUGACAUUAGGGUUUUGAUUGAUUUGUGUCUUAAGGUGUUAUUCUAGUAUGAACUCUAGGUUUGUUUGUGACACUUAUAGGAAUAGCCCAACAGACUGAUUGGAAAUAAUAACUUUGAGGUGGUUUCGUACCCUACCAUAAUCUCUUCGUUCGUUCUCCGCUAUUAGUGACUUUGGAGUGACUCUUUGUUGCAUGUUGAGGGAUAGUUAUGUGAUCCAAUUAUGCUAUUGUUGUUGAGGGAACUUGCACUAGCGAAAGUAUGAACCCUAGGCCUUAUUUCCUAUCAUUGCAAUACCGUUUAUGCUCACUUUUAUCACUUUCUACCUUGCUGUUUUUAUAUUUUCAGAUUACAAAUACCCAUAUCUACUAUCCAUAUACCACUUGUAUCACCAUCUCUUCGCCGAACUAGUGCACCUAUACAAUUUACCAUUGUAUUGGGUGUGUUGGGCACACAAGAGACUCUUUGUUAUUUGGUUGCAGGGUCGCUUGAGAGAGACCAUCUUCAUCCUAUGCCUCCUACGGAUUGAUAAACCUUAGGUCAUCCACUUGAGGGAAAUUUGCUACUGUCCUACAAACCUAUGCACUUGGAGGCCGAACAACGUCUACAAGAAGAAGGUUGUGUAAUAGACAUCAACUAUUGAUGUUAAUCACAUGUUGAUGUGAACUAGAUUAUUGACUCUAGUGCAAAUGGGAGACUGAAGGAAAAAUGCCCUAGAGGCAAUAAUAAAGUUGUUGUUUUAUAUUUCCUUAUAUCAUGAUAAAUGUUUAUUAUUCAUGCUAGAAUUGUAUCAACCGGAAAUUUGAUACAUGUGUGGAUACAUAGACAAAACAUUGUGUCCCUAGUAAGCCUCUACUAGACUAGCUCAUUAAUCAAAGAUGGUUAAGUUUCCUAACCAUAGACAUGUGUUGUCAUUUGAUGAACGGGAUCACAUCAUUAGAAGAAUGAUGUGAUCGACAAGACCCAUCCAUUAGCUUAGCUUAUUGAUCGUUAAGUUUUAUUGCUAUUGCUUUCUUCAUGUCAUAUACAUAUUCCUUUGACCAUGAGAUUAUGCAACUCCUAGAUAUCGCAGGAAUACCCUGUGUGCUAUCAAACGUCACAACAUUACUGGGUGAUUAUAAAGAUUCUCUUCAGGUAUCUCCGAAAGGUGUUUGUUGGGUUGGCAUAGAUCGAGAUUAGGAUUUGUCACUCUGAAUAUCAGAGAGGUGUCUCUGGGCCCUCACGGUAAUGCACAUCAUAAUAAGCCUUGCAAGCAAUGUGACUAAUGAAUUAGUUGCGGUAUGAUGUAUUACGGAAUGAGUAAAGAGACUUGCCGGUAACGAGAUUGAACUAGGUAUGAAGAUACCGACGAUCAAAUCUCGGGCAAGUAACAUACCGAUGACAAAGGGAAUAACGUAUGUUGUCAUUACGGUACGACCGAUAAAGAUCUUCGUAGAAUAUGUGGGAACCAAUAUGAGCAUCCAGGUUUCGCUAUUGGUUAUUGAUCGGAGAGGUGUCAUGGUCAUGUCUACAUAGUUCUCGAACCCGUGGGGUCCGCACGCUUAACAUUUGAUGGCGAUUUUGUAUUAUAUGAGUUAUGUGAUUUGGUGACCGAAUGUUGUUCGGAGUUCCGGAUGAGAUCACGGACAUGAUGAGGAGUCUCGAAAUGGUCGGAAGGUAAAUAUUCAUAUAUAGGACGAUGACAUUCGGACACCGGAAGUGUUCUAGGGGUACCGGGUACAUAUCGGGUCACCGGAAGGGGUUCCGGGCAUUCCUCCGGCAACUACAUGGGCCAAAUGGGCCAAGAAGGGGACAAACCGGCCCCUAGGGGGCUGGUGCACCCAUGUAGGCCGAAAAAGGAGGGGAAGGAAAAAGGAGAAGAGAGAAAGGAAGGGGAGGGAUUCGGCCUCCCCCUUCCUUCUCUCCUCCCUCUUCCUUCCUUCCCCCUAUGGAUGAAUAUGGAAGGGGGAGGCCGAAUUGGGAGGAGCCCAAGUAAGAUUCCUCCUACCUGGGGCGCCCCCUUGGUUGCGUCUCCUCCCCUCCAACCUAUAUAUAUAUGUGGGGGGGGGCACUGCUAGAACACACACCAAUAAUUGUUAGCCGUGUGCGGCGCCCCCUUCCAUAGUUUACGCCUCCGGUCAUAUCUUCGUAGUACUUAGGCGAAGCCCUGCAUGAAUCACUUCACCAUCACCGUCACCACGCCGUCGUGCUUAUGGAACUCAUCUACUUCCUCGACACUUUACCGGAUCAAGAGUUCGAGGGACGUCAUCGAGCUGAACAUGUGCAGAACUCGGAGGUGAUGUAUGUUCGGUGCUUGAUCGGUCGGAAAGAGAAGAAGUUCGACUACAUCAACCGCAUUGUCAAAUGCUUCCACUUUCGGUCUAUGAGGGUACAUAGACACACUCCCCCUCUCGUUGCUAUGCAUGUCCUAGAUAGAUCUUGCGUGUGCGUAGGAUUUUUUUUUUGAAAUUGCAUGCUACGUUCCCCAACAGCCCACGCCGCCCGCGACCAGUGACACUGGGCGGCGUGCGAGCCGUGAGGAGCACGGAGUGGAGAUCCUCCUAGGGGACGGCACUGCUUGGGUAGGCCGAGCAGCCCGGUGUUCAACGUGAGCCCUCGGAGCGUCAGCCAUGAGGACGGCAGGGCGGUGGCGGAUCGACUGGAAGAAGAGAGGCUCCGACGCACCCCUACCGGGCGUGCCAAAUGUCAGAUUUCGGGCUCCACAAACCCUGGAUAGAUUCAAACUCUGGGGUGCAUGCGAAGAACUCGACCUCCCAGUCUGCCAACCCGUUGAUCGCAUGGCCUAGCUCGACGAACUAAAAGGAAAGAGGACACAUCAGUUUACCCAGGUUCGGGCCACCUUGCGGUGUAAAACCCUACUCCUGCUUUGUGGUGGAUUGGCCUCGAGGUGGGUUGAGGAUGAACUAGUAUAGUGGAAGAACAACCUCAAGAGGUGCGUUCUCGAGCUGGUGGGGGAGAGGAUGAUCCGAAAGAUCUGGAUCCGGUCCCCCUCUACGGUGGUGGCUAUGUCCUAUUUAUAGUGGCCUUGGUCCUCUUCCCAAAUGAAGGCGAAGGGAUCCCACAACAACCAAAUUCGAAGGGAGACAACUAGUACAUAUUAUCCUGACAAAAGUAGUCUUUGCCUGCAAAGCCUCUAGUCGUGACGCCGUGGUGGGCUCGGCGAUGACCUCUAUCCUGCUGUCCUGGCGAUCCUGGUCUUGUUGCAUGGGAAUGGAAACCUUUGGCUGAUUCCUCGGGACUCCGCGCCUGUGCUUGCCUCCUUAGCACCAAAGAGAAAACUGAUGUCCAGCGCCCGCCUUCUGGAGGUCUUGGUGUCGUCCGCCUCGCGAGGCUUGGCCCCUCGCGAGGGUCUUGAGUUGUUGAUGCUGAAGGUGGGCCGUACCAGGCCGUCGAUGGAGCCACAUUGUUCGCCGCAGGCAGGCAAGUAUGGGUACCCCCGUUCCCAGAAUGCUAACAGACAGUGGAAGGGUAAUUUUCAAAGCAAUGAGCACAUGUUCUCGGGAGAACCACAAGAAGUAUCUUCGAAGUCUUCUGGUGAAGCAGGCGAUCAUACGGAAUGAAGGGGCUCUCCGAGGGAAGUAGUUACGAGAACCUAAGGUUAGAGUUAGCAAAAUCAUUUAACCCGAAUAGAAGAGAGAUCAGAGUCCCAGAGUAUAGGUCGAGGAAAAAAGAGAUCCUAAUACCACCCAAUGGCGACGUGGGCCCAUAAGCCACACAACCAUGUUAGUAAAUGUUUUGCAAUGACUAGACUCAACUUUGCCCAAGGAGUUUGGAAGGGGGAUUCCUACAGGUAGUCGGCUCUGAUACCAACUUGUGACGCCCCCGAUUCAAUUGUACACUAAUCAUACAUGCAAACGUGUACGAUCAAGAUAAGGGACUCACGGGAAGAUAUCACAACACAACUCUAAACAUAAAUAAAGUCAUACGAGCAUCAUAUUACAAGCCAGGGGCCUCGAGGGCUCGAAUACAAGUGCUCGAACAUAAACGAGUCAGCGAAAGCAACAAUAUCUGAGUACAAACAUAAGUUAAACAAGUUGCCGUAAGAUGGCUAGCACAAAUGGGGAUACAGAUUGAAGAGGCACAGGCCUCCUGCCUGGGAUCCUCCUAACUACUCCUGGUCGUCGGUGGCCUAAACGUAGUAGUAGGCACCCCCGGUGUAGUAGGGGUCAUCCUCGACAGUGGCGUCUGGCCCCUGGUCUCCAACGUCUGAUUGUAGCAACUGGGUAUCGAAGGGGAAAAGGGGUAAGCAAAGCAACCGUGAGUACUCAUCCAAAGUACUUGCAAGCAAGGAUCUACACUACAUAUGCAUUGGUAUCAAUGAAAUGGGUAGUAUCUAUGGACUGAACUGCAGAAUGCUAGAAUAAGAGGGGGAGAAGCUAGUCCUAUUGAAUACUAUGCUUCUGUCAGCCUCCAUCUUGAAGCAUAUAGAAGAGAGUAGCUAGUAAGUUCACCAAGUAACAACGUAUAGCAUAAUCCUACCCGGCGAUCCUCCCCUCAUUGCCUUGUGGGAAAGCGAUCAUCGAGUUGUAUCUUGCACUUGAAAGGGUGAGUUUUUAUUAAGUAUCCGGUUCUAGUUGUCAUGAGGUCGGAAUAUAGCAUCGGGUCGUCCUGUUACCGUGGACACGACUAUUUGAAUAGAUCAAUCUUCCCUGUAGGGGUGCACCACAUUGCCCAACACGCUCGAUCCCUCUAGCCGGACGCACUUUCCUAGGUCAUGCCCGACCUCGGAAGAUCAACACGUCGCAGCCCUACCAGGCCUAACAGAGAGGUUAGCACGCCGGUCUAGAUCCUAAGCGCGCAGGGGUCUUGGGCCCAUCGCCCUUUACACUCUCGCACAUUGCGAAUGUGGCCGGUGAGCAGACCUAGCAACCUUCAUUACAAAGGAAGUUGAGUUACGCGGUUCAACCCGGCGCGCACCGCUCAGUCGCUAACGUCUAGGAGGCUUUGGCUAAUACUACGACAUCGAGUGCCCAUAACUGUUCUCGCGGGGUGGUUAGUGCGUAUAGGUCAGUGGCCAACUCAGAUCAAAUAACCAAUCUCGUUAAGUGUGUUAUUUGAAGUAACUGCGGACGUCGAUCAGGGACCAUGCCCACCUGUCUCCUAGGUGGUUACAGCCUGCCCCGUCGCUCCGCCACAGUGUAACACUCUGGGCCGUCGGGAACCCAGACCCACCACUACCUGUGUGGAACCACCUGUCCCUUCAGCCCCCAUAUACGAACAGUAACAUAAGCAUGCAAAAGUAUAUAGCAUAUACCCGUGAUCACCUCCCGAAGUGAUCACGACCCGAUAGUAUAGCAUGGCAGACGGACAAGUAUGUAAGGCCACUGAUGACAUUCUAGCAACCUAUACUAAGCAUUUAGGAUUGCAGGUAAAGUAUCAAAAGUAGUAACAAGGAAAGGCUAUGCAGUAGAAUAGGUUCAUCCGAAAACAAUAACAACUACACUACUCUAAUGCAAGCAGUAGAGGGAAAGAGUAGGCGAUAUCGGGAUGACCAAGGGGAGUUUGCUUGCCUGGAAGCUCUGUUGAGAAGGAGGGGUCGUCAACACGGUAGUCGUACUGGGUAGAAGCGGCGUUGAUCUCGGUGUCUAAUGAGAGAAUAGGGGGAAGAAACAAUAAAUAUAAAUGCAAAAAGAUGCAUGACAAUGCAUGACAUGGCAAUGAGCGGUGCUAGGUGUGCCCUAACGCGGUAGUAGGUGAUACUGGCGAAGGGGGAAAACAUACGAGAAACUAUUUCCCGGUGUUUGACGUUUUCAGACAGACGAACCAGAGGGGGAUUGUUGCAUGUUCGCUAUGUUAGGGACAUGUGGCAAACGAACGGAUUGCGUAUUCGGAUUCGUCUCGUCGUUCUGAGCAACUUUCAUGUACGAAGUAUUUUCAUCCGAGAUACAGUUUAUUUUAUAUUAAUCUGAAAGGAUUUAAUCAUUUUCUAGGAUUAUUAUUAUUUAAUUAAUUUGAAAAAGAAUUGUUGCGUCAUCAUGACGUCAACAUGACAUCAGCGAUCAAAGUUGACUGUUGAUCAGUCAAAUGACGGGUGGGUCCCGCAUGUCAUAGGUUGUUAACUAAUUAACCGUAGUUAGUUUUAUUAGUAGGUUAAGUGGGUUUAAUUAAAUCUAAUUAGUUAACUAAGAGAGUUGAUUAAGUUAAUUAAUUCUUUAAUUAGUUAAUUAUACCUUUUUAAUGACGUUCCUGGGGCGGGCCCACAUGUCAUUGGCCGGGGGCCGGGGCUAACGGGCGCAGCGAGCGCCGGCAGUUGGAGCGACACACAGGAGGGGCGGUCAUCGCGGCGAGAGGCGGCGCGGGGCAACGAUGGCCGGCGAGCAACUACAUCAGGGGUGCGCGGGGCUACGCGAGGUCCUGGCAGGGCGGAGGAACAGCGCCACGGUAGAGGCAACACGGGGAUGGGGAGGGGGGAGGGCGCUGCGGUUGGAUGGGCGCGCGCGGUGCGGCGAACGGAGCAAGCAGCGUUGACUUGGAGGGCAGCAACAGUAGCAAGGGGGCGAGCAUCGACGACGGCAGACGUGGACGGCGAUAGCGAGCACGAGCAGUAGCAGGCGAGGUGCAGGGGCGUGGGGAGCGCGGCGGUGCUGCGGGUAGGCUGGAAGGCGAGUGGGCGCUGCUGACACCGGUGAGGUGCUCACGCGCGGCUCGGCCAGACGCGAACGGCCGCAGGGCGAGGUGCGAUGUCACGGGCAGCGGCGGGCAGAGCCGCGCAGGGGCAGCGACGAGCAGGGACGGGGCGAGGACGGCGGUGGCCGAACACGGCGUUGGCGGGCGAGGGGGGAAGAGGAGGUCGGGGCUCACAUUCGCGCAAGGGAUUGGGGCGGCGAGGCUCGUUGGAGCCCGUGAGGAGGAGGAUGAGGAGGCGGUUCCGGUGAAGGUGGCGUCGACCGUCGGCGUCACACCGAGGGACGUCGGGGUCGGGCUUGGUCACAUCUAGAUUUGGAUCGGGGAGGGGGAGAGAUGAGGGGGUGGGGGCUGUGGUGAGUGGGUUGCUAGUGUUUCGGCUGACAGGGGGUUAAGCAAGGGGGCGGCCUGGUGGCCUAUUGGGCGGAGGUCGAGGGGGUUCUUCUUUUAUUUUUUUUGUUUUUUUCUUUUACUUAUUUUUUCUUUUAGUUUCCUUUUCUUUUAGUUUUAAUAGAUUACCAAAGUGGCACCUAAAUUGAUGUUACAAAUUAAGCCAUAUCCACAAUAAUUUAUUACUCAAACUAAAUUAGUUUUGUAAUUAUUUAUUAUUCUAAAAGCAUUUUAGUUAAUUGUUUAGCCACGGUUUUGUUUGUUAAUAUGCAUUUAAAUAAUCUGUGGCUUCUUCACAAAUAUUUCUUAUGAAUUAUUUGCCACAGUUAGGACAUUUUAGUUUUGACACUUGAAAACUUUUAUUAUUUGACUUCGUUUUUAACUUUGAAUUUUGAAUCGGUUUUAAAUCAUAAGGGGUUUAACAACAGUAACAUGAUGACAUGGCAUCAUUAGUAGGGAAUUACUGUAGCUUGAUGAUCUAGGCGUCACAUAAAUAAUAUGGCAUUGAAUUUAGUAUAAAGUGCUGACAAUAGCCUCCACCUCCCGCCUUGUCUCCAUGUCCGAAUAGCUCUGAUCCCACGCUCACAUUUUCCACUCCCUUUACCGUCGCCAUGCCACUUCCCGCGUAGCUGCACCGAGCGCCACUUUCGAAGGAGGAGGAGCGGAUCCUGGAUGAAGAGGCAGCGGAAGAGCAGACCGACCUCUUCGCUAUGGAGGAGGAAGAGGAAUGUCUUUACCCACCGGAGGCCGCGAGGAAGGAUCCCGUCGUUGCUGAAUGGUCGGAUUGGAUACCCGCAAAAAAACCAAAUGAUAAGUACCACACGUGUGACAGGAAGUAACACCGCCCUGGCAUUUUUACAGCUACUAGUAAAUGCGCACGUGCAACACACGUUAAUAUUUAGGCAAUAUCAGUGGGGAAGCCACUCAUCAGCUGGGUAGUCAAUUGACUACCCAGCUUUUUGAUGAGACUAGCAUAUGCAUGCAAAAAUGUUGAAUUUUUUGGUUCAAAUUUAUAUACCUGACUACACAAUUUGAAAAUGACUACACAAGACUGCAGUUCUGGCUCCGCCACUGGGCAAUAUAUCAAUUGCACGCGGAUAUUAGAUAUGCUAUUUUUUGUAUGUUAAUCAUGUGUUUAGCGCAAUAUUUGGCAUGAUAUUAAUUGCACGUUAAACACGUUUAAUGUUCAAAACAGUCUAGAUCGUUGGAUUGACUUAGUUCAAUGACCAUGAUCAGUUGAAUAUGCUCUUUUGAGUCUUUUUAUGUCGGUAUAAUAUAGAUAUAAAAAAUUGCCAUACGAAAAAGAACAAAUCUCCAAAAAACUGAAACUUACCAUUCAAACAAAAAGCUGUCAUGCUUUACAACUAAAGUUGACAUUCUCAUAUAACUAAAUUAUUUACACAAUCACAUUAUUAUUGAUAAGUAAAUCACAAGUCAACGUACGGGAAUAUUUAUACCCCGUUAUAACGCACGAGCAUUGUUCUAUUUUGUCAUAAAAAAAGUCAGAGCGAAAUUGUUUCGUGCUACACGUGUGACCCCUAUCAGGGUAAAAAAAAUUGAUUGGAUUGGAAACUCAAAACACACCAUCAAAGUUUGAUUCGCAAUGGCGGCAACGAACUGACCCCACAUCAGUGGCGCACUAUAGGUGCUCUUUGCCAAACCAUGAAUGCCGUCGGCACGACUCCACUACAAAUAGGCCACUCGUUAUUUCGAAAGGCCACACCAGCGCCCACCCAAUCCACCAACCCCGACCCCUCAAUUCCGUCGAGCGCCCCGCGCCGCCACCCAAACCCUAGCUCCCCAUGGCCACCGUCUCCUUCUCAUCCCCGGCGUCCUUCGCCGGCGACAACAGCGGUGCCCUUACCUCCGCCACCAUCCUCCGUUUCCCGCCCAACUUCGUCCGCCAGCUCAGCACCAAGGCCCGCCGCAACUGUAGCAACAUAGGCGUCGCGCAGAUCGUCGCCGCCGCUUGGUCCGAUCGCCGAGCCGUCACCUCCCACUCCGGCGGCGGAAGCAGCGUCCGCGGCACCUCCUCCCAUGCCGCGGCCGCAUCCGCCGCCACCUCUGCGGCGGCGGCUGCCGAGGUUGGCGCCAUUCCUAACGCCAAGCUCGCGCAGCCGUCCGCCGCCGCAUUGGCCGAGCGUGCCCUGCUCGGUUCGGAUGCUAGCCUCGCCGUCCACGCAGGUAACCUACUCGCUCCCUUGUUGCCCAUCAGAUCUAGGAGUAUUUCGCGCAGCUAUCCUUUUGGUUUUGACAUGUUUGCUGUUUUUCUCUGCGUAAGGCGAGAGGCUUGGGAGAAGGAUCGCCACAGACGCGAUCACCACGCCAGUAGUGAACACCUCCGCCUACUGGUUCAGUAGCUCGCAGGAGCUGAUCGAUUUCAAGGUUUGAAGCCCCCUACCUUUAUUGCUAUUCUGUGCUCUAGUUGUCAGAUUUGAUAAAUCUGCGGUUAUAUUGUCAAAAUCUCCUUUUUGUUAGGAGGGGAGGCAUGCUAGCUUCGAAUACGGGAGGUAUGGGAACCCGACCACUGAGGCUUUGGAGAAGAAGAUGAGGUGAAAUCUAGAUUCUCCUCUUUCUUGUGGAUUUUUUAUGCCUUGUUUGUUCCAUUGUAUCGGUUUUCCAUAGUUGCUAAUUUUGAUGCUGCAGUGCACUGGAGAAAGCCGAGUCCACUGUCUUUGUGGCGUCAGGGAUGUAUGCAAGCGUCGCUAUGCUCAGCACACUUGUCCCAGCAGGUGGGCACAUUGUUACAACCACAGAUUUGUACCGCAAGACAAGAAUUUACAUGGAGACUGAGCUCCCCAAGAGGGGAAUUACGGUAAUAUGUGCUACCAUCAUGCCCAUUUUCUUUCAGUAAUAUGAUUAGAUGUCUAUGCAGUUCAGUUAGUUUUGUGAGAACCAUUAUGAGAGGUUCAUAGCAGCAAUAUACAGUACUAGCUUACAGGUGAUAUAGUUGCUGUUGAGUGAUGUGGUAUGGGACCACAUUUUAGAAGCCUAAUAAACUUGGAGUAGAAAUGCAGCUUCAUUCAAGAUCCAGUAUUUCAGAUGUCUUUACUUGAUAUAAACGUGAUCUGCAUGUUAACAACUAAUCGGAGUGAAUCUUUGUUGCGUUUCUGUAUAAUUUGCGGGUUUCUUAUCUUUGUACACCUGAUGCACAGAUGACUGUUAUUAGACCUGCUGACAUGGAUGCUCUUCAAGAUGCACUUGAUAAUAAUAAUGUGAGUUUAAUCUUUACAAUUCUUUCACCCCCUUUCUUCGCAUUAACUUAUUCAUCCACAAGUAGACUAAUUUGUUGGUUCCUUUAUUUUCAGGUAUCUUUAUUCUUCACUGAGACUCCUACUAAUCCAUUUCUCAGAUGCAUUGAUAUUGAGCUUGUCUCCAAUAUGUGCCAUAACAAGGGAGCAUUGCUAUGCAUUGAUAGCACCUUUGCCUCCCCUAUCAAUCAGAAAGCACUGACUUUAGGUGCUGACAUAGUUGUUCAUUCUGCAACGAAGUAUAUUGCUGGGCACAAUGAUGUAAGUUGAUGAAUAUUUUUUUAGUACUCUAUUUACAGAUAAGAUAUACAUUAGCUCAAUUUCUUUUGCUUUUUAGGUUAUUGGAGGCUGUAUCAGUGGCAGGGACGAGCUAGUCUCCAAGGUCCGCAUUUAUCACCAUGUAGUUGGUGGUGUUCUAAACCCGGUAUGUUGGAUUGGCAUUCUUUCUAUCCAUCUCUCGAACCUAUUUGCUUCUUUCUAGCAAGUUUCACUAUAUACCAAGAGUUAUAUUUGGUCCUCCCCAUAUAUUGAUUAGCCUCAUGCUGGGAUCCUGCAAGGAUCCAUAGAUUAAAUUAAUCUGGAAGGGAAGUCCUGGACGAUUCAUCAGGCUUUGUUUGGUUGUUGGGGGAUAUAACACCCAGGGAGGAAAACCAGAGAUGAAUUGUACCGGCCCUACCUGAACCCAUGGAAAACCACAGGUCGGACAAUUCCCUGCUACCAUUUGGUUGAAAACCAUGGAUAAUCUCUCAUUCACGACAUCUCCAAAGAUUUUAAAAAAAAUGGAGAGAUCGUUUCAAUUAUGGCCCAGCAACAGGAGCGUUGGAGGGCUGCUUUGGAUUCUACAAGCUCUUCUGGCUGUCAUGUUCAAGCCAUCCAUGGCUGCUCCCUCGUAGUUGUCGAGGCCAAGGCCGCUGACUCUGCUAGCAAGCCCCAUUUGAUUCUCCUCUUUCUCACCGCCCGCCUUAACCAAAUUGAACGCCAAGAUUUUGCAGUUCUGCCGAGACGACUGGAGUGGCAACAUGUGGUGAUGGAUUGGUACAUGAGGGUGAGUGGGAGGAGGUGAACAAAGGAUUUGGCCAUGGAUGCGGGAUGGAAGCGUUACCAGCAGCGAGAUAAAAAAUAGAAGUGCACGUGACAAUUGUGAGAGGUAGUGUUGAGAGGCAGGGAAUUCUUUCCAUGACUUGGGAGGCGUUCUUUUUUAUCCGUGGGAAUUGACGGGAGGUGGAGGGGUUUUCCCAUAUCAUGUGUCGAGCAAAUCGUACGUGGGAAAACCAGGAAUAAUUUGCCCUGGGGUGGAAGUUUCCAGUGAAUGGGCUGGGAUCCUCGUGGCCUCCCCUGCUGCCAAAUGAUGCUUUGAUCCUGGGUUCACUUCAACCCAGCCAAAAGUGUCAUGAAACAGCUGGUUCAUUUCUACAAUAUUUUAUAUAAUCCAAGUGGUUGACUUAUUUCAAAAAAAUGAACAUUGUGGCUUAGAUGAUUUGGGGAAAACCUUAGUUGAACUCUCCUACAAUUUGUUGCAGUGGAAAAAUAUAUAAUAUUACAUUUACACUAUCUUUCCUUUGAUGAGACCAGCAUGCGUUUUGUGCGGCGAAUCCAGGAGUCUGAGGUCAAGGAGGCUUUAAAAAGGAUGAAAGGAAGCAAGGCGAUGGGCCCUGAUUGUAUCCCCAUUAAGGUGUGGAAAGGUCUCGGGGACAUAGCGAUAGUAUGGCUAACCAAGCUUUUCAACCUCAUUUUUCGGGCAAACAAGAUGCCAGAAGAAUGGAGACGGAGUAUAUUAGUACCAAUCUUCAAGAACAAGGGGAUGUUCAGAGUUGUACUAAUUACCGUGGAAUUAAGCUGAUGAGUCAUAUAAUGAAGCUAUGGGAGAGAGUCAUUGAGCACCGCUUAAGAAGAAUGACAAGCGUGACCAAAAAUCAGUUUGGUUUCAUGCCUCGGAGGUCGACCAUGGAAGCCAUUUUCUUGGUACGAUAACUUAUGGAGAGAUAUAGGGAGCAAAAGGACUUGCAUAUGGUGUUCGUUGACUUGGAGAAGGCCUAUGAUAAGAUACCACGGAAUGUCAUGUGGUGGGCCUUGGAGAAACACAAGGUCCCAGCAUAGUAAUUACCCUCAUCAAGGACAUGUACGACAAUGUUGUGACAAGUGUUUGAACAAGUGAUGUCGACACCGAUGACUUCCCGAUUAAGAUAGGACUGCAUCAGGGGUCAGCUUUGAGCCCUUAUCUUUUUGCAUUGGUGAUGUAUGAGGUCACAAGGGAUAUACAAGGAGAUAUCUCAUGGUGUAUGCUCUUUGUGGAUGAUGUGGUGCUAGUUGACGAUAGUCGGACGGGGGUAAAUAGGAAGUUAGAGUUAUGGAGACAAACCUUGGAAUCGAAAGGGUUUAGGCUUAGUAGAACUAAAACCGAGUACAUGAUGUGCGGUUUCGGUGCUACUAGGUGUGAGGAGGAGGUUAGCCUUGAUGGCCAGGUGGUACCUCGGAAGGACACCUUUCGGUAUUUGGGGUCAAUGCUACAGGAGGAUGGGGGUAUUGAUGAAGAUGUGAACCAUCGAAUCAAAGCCGGAUGGGUGAAGUGGCGCCAAGCUUCUGGCAUUCUCUGUGACAAGAGAGUGCCACAAAAGCUAAAAGGCAAGUUCUACAGGACGGCGGUUCGACCCGCAAUGUUGUAUGGCGUUGAGUGUUGGCCGACUAAAUGGCGACAUGUUCAACAGUUAGGUGUGGCGGAGAUGCGUAUGUUGAGAUGGAUGUGUGGCCACACGAGGAAGGAUCGAGUUCGGAAUGAUGAUAUACGAGAUAGAGUUGGGAUAGCACCAAUUGAAGAGAAGCUUGUCCAACAUCGUCUGAGAUGGUUUGGGCAUAUUCAGCGCAGGCCUCCAGAAGCUCCAGUGCAUAGUGGACGGCUAAAGCGUGCGGAGAAUGUCAAGAGAGGGCGGGGUAGACCGAAUUUGACAUGGGAGGAGUCCGUUAAGAGAGACCUGAAGGAUUGGAGUAUCACCAAAGAGUUAGCUAUGGACAGGGGUGCGUGGAAGCUUGCUAUCCAUGUACCAGAGCUAUGAGUUGGUUGCAAGAUCUUAUGGGUUUCAUCUCUAGCCUACCCCAACUUGUUUGGGACUAAAUGCUUUGUUGUUGUUGUUGUACAUUUACACCAUCUUUCAGUCCUAGAUGGGACAAAAAGAAAUCAUUGCUGUUUAAGGGUUUGUGCUCCUGCAAUAUGAGGGUGCUGCAUUGCUUUUCGGUGCAUAGAGACAUGGCACAUAUAGUAUUGCCUCCUAAUUUACUUCUAAAGGAAUAAGAUUUAGUCUCUGAAAUGUUCAACCCAAUAAAUCAAUGAAUGAGAAUGUACUCCUAGAAUUCUCCGUUUAAAUUAUCUUCGUAAUAAUUUGUAUGUAUAACUAAAGGCAAUGAUAUUUCUUUAGAAAUGCAUGGGUUCAUUCGUAGUUAUAGACUAGUAACCAAGAUUCAGAAGUUUGACCUGCCAGGCAUUGAACCUCUAGCUUUAGGUGCCAUGCUAUCCUUGUUGAAACGCAGUUUGACUAGUAUGAGUAGUAAAUGAUAUAUACUCUGUAUUCUUCUGUCUCACACCUUGUUUCUAAGCUCUUAACAUUUCAUUGCAUUGUGAUGUCAGAAUGCUUCCUAUCUGAUCCUCCGGGGCAUGAAAACACUACAUCUCCGUGUUCAGUGCCAGAAUAGUACUGCUCUGCGGAUGGCCCAGUUUUUAGAGGAACAUCCAAAGGUGUGCUACUCUGUUUCUUUUAGUCCUAGACUUGAGACAACUACGGGCCAUCUAUGUUUUUUGUUGCUUUAACUGAAGUUUGUAUUUCAUAUCCUAGAUUGCACGUGUAUACUAUCCUGGCUUGCCAAGUCACCCUGAACAUCACAUUGCCAAGAGCCAAAUGACUGGCUUUGGUGGUGUUGUCAGCUUUGAGGUAAUUUGAUUGUCUUGGUAAAAUAUAGUAAAAUACUACUCCUGCUGUAACUAAACAUAAGACGUUUUUUGACACUGUAAUUGGACUCUAAAAGUGUCUUAUAAAAAGUUACAGAGGGAAUAUACUAGAACACUAAGUGUGUUGACUCUAUUAACAAUUUAACGUAUAAAUUAUCUUGUGUUAGGUUGAUGGGGACUUCGACUCUACUAGAAAAUUCAUUGAUUCUGUCAAGAUACCCUACCAUGCCCCUUCAUUUGGGGGUUGUGAGAGCAUAAUUGAUCAGCCUGCCAUCAUGUCCUACUGGUAUUAACAUAUAUUUAUCUGUUGUCACAUUCAAUAAUUGUGCACAUAAUAUUGUUUUAGUUUUAACUCUUGAGCUGUGAUCCAUAAACAGGGAUUCGAAGGAGCAGAGAGACAUUUAUGGAAUCAAGGACAACCUGAUCAGGUUCAGCAUCGGAGUCGAGGAUUUUGAGGACUUGAAGAAUGACAUUGUUCAGGCCCUCAACAAGAUCUAAGCGUCAUAUGCAUCACCAUUACGGGAAUAUAUCUGGGCAUAUUUGCCUCACCAUUACGGGAAUCUAUCUGGGCAUAUUUGCCUCACCAUUACGGGAAUCUAUCUGGGCAUAUUUCAUGUGGUGAACUCUUGAUAUUUGAUAUGCUUACUGCGAAUAAAUUGUUUUAUUUGUUUCCUCUUUAUUGGAGGGGAAUGUAUUUUCUCUUUUUUCUGGUGAUUUCAAUAAAGAUUGAUAACCUUGACUAUCAUAAGAUAAAAAUGAAGUCAAGUAAUUUUAUUAUAGUGGGCCAUUUGCAUUUCUGCCCUUAACUCAAACCACCUAC